AAUCACAAUCUUCUGAUCAUUGUAUCGAUAAGGAAUCGCCUCGAUCCAUUUUGAAUCAUAAUUAACAGCAACUAAAAUGUAUAAAAAUUCAAAUGAUGAUGGAAAAUGACCCAUAAAAUUAAUUCUCCAACAAUCAAAUAUUUCAGUGACAAGAAUGGGGUUUAAAGGCAUCAUGUUUCGCUUUGAAAUAGACCCUACCAUUUGACAAUUCUUACACAUUUUACAGAAUGCAUGUGAAUCUUUAAAUAAUAUAGGCCAAUAAAAUUCACACUGUAAUAUUUUUGCAGCUGUCUUUUUUUAAGAAAAAUGGCCACCGCAUGCUUCAGAAUGAAAAAAUUGAAUGACCAUACUUACCUCGUCGUCUGGUAUGCAUCUUUGAAAAAUUCGAUCUAAGCAGUAUUUAAACAGGUAUGGAUUAUCCCAGUAAAAUCUUCUCACUUCUGUUAAGAAUUUCUUUUUGUCCUGGGAACUCCAGUCACAUGGCAUUUCACCUGUUGCAAGAUAAUUAACAAUAUUAGCAUAUCAAGGCAUUUUGUUUAUAGAAAAUAAAAAUUCAUCAGGGAAAAAAUCAUUGAUGGGUGUUGUUUCAAUUGAAGACUCAUUAGUAAGUCUUGAAAGAUGAUCUGCAACAACAUUUUCAGUGCCUUUUUUGUCCUUGAUUGUCAAGUUAAAUUCUUGAAGUAGCAAAAUCCAUCGUAUCAACCUUGGUUUGGCAUCCUGUUUUGACAUUAAAUAUCUCACAGAAGCAUGAUCAGAAUAAACAAUAGUGGAUGAACCAAUUAAAUAUGAAUGAAAUUUAUCCAAUGCAAAUAUUACAGCUAGUAGUUCUUUCUCAGUUGUAGUGUAAUUCAUUUGAGCAUUCUUCAAAGUUCUACUUGCAUUAUAGAUGACAAAAGGCUUACCUUCCUUUCUUUGACUCAGAACAGCGCCAACGACAUAAUCACUAACAUCACACAUUAGCUCAAAUGGUAAAGACCAAUCAUUAUUGGGGCUGAUGUCAAAAGAGUAGUUAUUUUUUCAAAAGCUUGUUGACAAUCUUUAGGCAUCAUGUUUCGCUUUGAAAUAGACCCUACCAUUUGACAAUUCUUACACAUUUUACAGAAUGCAUGUGAAUCUUUAAAUAAUAUAGGCCAAUAAAAUUCACACUGUAAUAUUUUUGCAGCUGUCUUUUUUUAAGAAAAAUGGCCACCGCAUGCUUCAGAAUGAAAAAAUUGAAUGACCAUACUUACCUCGUCGUCUGGUAUGCAUCUUUGAAAAAUUCGAUCUAAGCAGUAUUUAAACAGGUAUGGAUUAUCCCAGUAAAAUCUUCUCACUUCUGUUAAGAAUUUCUUUUUGUCCUGGGAACUCCAGUCACAUGGCAUUUCACCUGUUGCAAGAUAAUUAACAAUAUUAGCAUAUCAAGGCAUUUUGUUUAUAGAAAAUAAAAAUUCAUCAGGGAAAAAAUCAUUGAUGGGUGUUGUUUCAAUUGAAGACUCAUUAGUAAGUCUUGAAAGAUGAUCUGCAACAACAUUUUCAGUGCCUUUUUUGUCCUUGAUUGUCAAGUUAAAUUCUUGAAGUAGCAAAAUCCAUCGUAUCAACCUUGGUUUGGCAUCCUGUUUUGACAUUAAAUAUCUCACAGAAGCAUGAUCAGAAUAAACAAUAGUGGAUGAACCAAUUAAAUAUGAAUGAAAUUUAUCCAAUGCAAAUAUUACAGCUAGUAGUUCUUUCUCAGUUGUAGUGUAAUUCAUGAACAGCGCCAACAACAUAAUCACUAGCAUCACACAUUAGCUCAAAAGGUAAAAACCAAUUAGGGGGUUGCAUUAUUAGGGCUGAUGUCAAAAGACUAGUUAUCUUUUCAAAAGCUUGUUGACAAUCUUUAGUCCAUUCAAAUUGUGUGUCUUUUAUUAGGAGAUUGCAAAUUGGUCUAGAUAAGGCACUAAAGUCUUUUAUAAACCUCCUAUAAAAUCUUACAUGUCCUAAAAAAGAACGGACUUCUCUAAUUGUCUUUGGUGAGGGUAAUUUUGAAAUGACUUCAACUUUGGCUUUAUCAACUUCGAUUCCUUUUUACGACACGACAUGGCACAAGACAAUUCCAGAAGUGGUCAUCAAAUGACAUUUUUCCCAAUUUAAAACUAGUCCUUUUUCUUUGCACUUUUCCAGAACUUUUUCUAAAUUAUCAAGACAUGUAUCAAAAGAAUUACCAAAUACAGUUAAAUCAUCCAUAAAAACUUGUAGACAAUUUUCAACCAUGUCACUACAAAUGCUUAGCAUACACCUUUGAAAUGUUGCAGGAGCAUUACAAAGUCCAAAGGGCAUUCUUCUAAAUGCAAAUGUUCCAAAUAGGCAUGUGAAUAUGGUGUUUUCUUGGUCUUCUAAGGUUAUAGGAAUUUGAUAAUAGCAAGAGUAGCCAUCAAGAAAGCAGUGGUAAGGAUAUCCAGCUACUCUUUCAAGAAUUUGGUCUAGAAAUGAAAAGGAAAAAUGAUCUUUUCUAGUGGUAUCAUUUAAUUUUCUGUAAUCAAUGCACAUGCGCCAACUAGAUGGAAUUCGUGUUGGGAUUGGUUCACCUUUUUUUAUUUUUUACAACAGUUAUUCCAUAUUUCUUUGGUACUAUUUGUGUUGGACUUACUCAUUUACUAUCAGAGAUAGGAUAGAUAAUUCCUACAUCUAGUAGUUGAAGGACCUCAUUCUUUACCACUUCUUUCAUAUGAGGGUUUAAUCUUCUUUGUGAUUGACGGGUUGUUUUGGCAUUUUCCUCUAAGUGUAUUCGGUGUGUGCAAAUUAAAAGAUUAAUGCCUUUUAUGUCUUUUAAGGUCUCACAAAUGCAGUUUUAUACCUUUUUAGUACAGAUAGUAACUUACCUUCUUGAUCAUGCAUGAGCUGGGAAGAAAUUACCACCGGAUAUGUCUGUUGUUCUCCAAGAUAGACAUACUUCAAUUCUUCUAGUAAGGGCUUUAAUUCGAGCUCUGGUGUUUCUUUUUUGUUUGGUUCUUCAGGUUGUACCGUAUCUUCAAAGUUCGAUUGGUCAUCGUCACCUAUUGGUACCUGUAUAAAAUCAAGUGUAGAGCAUAUGUUAGCAAGCUGCACUUAUUGAAUCCAUGAGAUCUUAUGAACUCAUCAAAUCUGAUGUACCACUGCCUGGGUGAUUGUUUUAAACCAUAUAGUGAUUUUUUCAGCAAACACACAUUGUUUGGCUUCAUUUGGUCUGUAUACCCUUCUAGUUGUGUCAUGAAGAUUUCUUCUUAUAGGUUUCCAUACAGGAAGGCUGUUUUGACAUCGAGUUGAUCAAGCUCCAUGUCAUAGACUGCUGUUAGAGCCAAUAAGACCUUUAUUGAUGCAUGUCUAACCACAUGUGAGAAUACUUUUUUGAAAUCAAUGCCCUCCUUCUGUGUGUAUCCUUUAGCUACCAACCUAGCCUUAAACCUCCUAGGUUCUGUAGCUGACACCCCAUCUAUGAUUCUGUAUAUCCAUUUGCAUCCCACUAGCCUUCUGUUAUCAGGCUUUCUCACCAGCUUCCAUGUAUUGUUUUUGUAGAAAGAUGUUAUUUCAUCAUCCAUGGCUUUCUGCCAUUCAGCCUUGUUUAUAUUGUUAAAUGCUUCUUUAUAACUCUUAGGUUCUGUUUCAUCAAUUUUAUGUGAGGUAGCAAGUGCAUAAGCUAUUAGAUCUGCAUAGCAUAUCUCUUUGGAGGUCUUAUGGUUCUUCUUUCUCUUUCUUUUGCCAACUGGUACUCUUCAAACUCAAUUUGACUCUGAUGAUAUUGAUGUUUUGUACUGUGAUCUUCUUUAUCAGAACUUUCUUCACCUGAAUCUGCAGCUUCAUUUGAAGAUUUCUGAAAUGAGUGCUCCACCUCAAACUGGAUACUGUCAGUACCUUUGUCUUAAGAUUCAGCAACCUCAGCUGGAUUACUUGCAGACAACGCAGCUUCCUCAUUGAACACCACAUCCCUGCUUGUUAUGCAUCUAGGUGGGGUUAGUUCUGAACACCAUAGCUUGUAACCCUUCACUCUAUCUGGAUAACCUAUAAACUAUCCCUUUAAGGCUCUGUGUGCUAAUUUUUCCUAGUUUGUAUGUGCAUAUGUUGUGCACCCAAAUACUUUGAGGUUGCUAUAGUUUGCAGGUUUACCAGACCAUUGUUUAUAAGGAGUCUUAAACUCAAUGGUUGCUGAAGGACUUAGAUUGACCAGUAAACAAGCUAUUAACAAGGUUUCUGCCCAGAGCCCUUUGGCAGCUUAGACUAAAUCAUCAUGCACCUAACUUUAUUCAUUAAAUUCAUGUUCAUCCUUUCAGCAAGUCUAUUUUGCUGAGGAGUCAUUCUCACUGUUCUAUGUCUAGCAAUUCCCUCACUAGCACAAAAGUCAUCAAACAUCUUAUUACAAUAUUCAAGUCCAUUGUCUGUUCUUAACUUCUUAACUUUCUUCCCUGUUUGGUUUUCAACUAAGGCUUUCCAAUCCUUAAACUUGCCAAACACUUGAUCCUUGGUUCUGAGAAUAUACACCCAAACUCUCCUCGAAAACUCAUCAAUUACAGACAUGAAGAACAUAUUCCCCCCCAAUGAUAGAACCUGAGAUGGCCCCCACAAAUCUGAGUGAAUGUAUUCCAGAAUGUCUCUAGUCUUAUGCUGAGAUUUCUUGAAACUAGCUCUUGUAGACUUCCCUAGGACACAAUCUUCACAAACGACUAAUUCCCCAAUCUUGCCAUUCUCUAGAACACCCUGUUUUACUAAUUCUUUUAGACCCUUAAUGCUCAUGUGCCCAAGUCUUAGAUGCCAUAACUUGGUUGCAUCCAUGUUAACCUUAGUGGAUACACUGGACUCUCCAGUUACCAUUUCACCAUCCGAAAUGUAUACACCAUUCUUCAUAUUCCCCUUCAUAACCAGUGUUGCCCCAUUGAGAUUUUUAUUUCACCAUGUUCAAGCAUAACACUAUAACCAGCUUGGUCAAGCAUCCCUAAAGAGAUUAAGUUUCUUUUUAGAUCUGGUACAUGUCUCACUUGCUUGACUUCUCUAAUGGUUCUAUUAUAUAGUUUAAGGCUUACAUUUCCUAUCCCAAUGACUUUACACACUGCAUUAUUCCCUAUCAUAACAUUUCCCCCAUCAAAUGUAUGAUAUUCAGAAAAGUAAUUUUGACAAUGACUCAUAUAAAAGGUGCAUCUAGAGUCAAGGAUCCACUUACUCUUCUGCACUUCUUCUGUUGCCACACAUACAUCAACUGACGCAUAUCCAUCUUCUUCAACAAUAGCUGCAUCACCAUUCUGUCCAUUUUUCUUGAAAUUCUUCUCUGGGCAAUCUUUCUUGAAAUGUACCUCUUUAUGACAUUGGAAAUACUUCAUAUUCUUGUUUUUGUUCUUUGUCUUCCCUUGUUUCUUUUUCUUUCCAUCAUUCUUGUCAAUCUUUCCUUUCACAGUCAGCCCUUCUGCAUGAACUCUAUUUACUUGUUUAUCUUGUAACCCUCUUGUAUUUAAAGCAGCUUUAACCUCAUCCAGGGAUAGAGAUUGUCUGCCAUACACAAGAGCAUCAACACAGUUUGAGUAUGAAGGAGGUAAAGAGCUUAUCAAGAGUAGAGCUUUGCCUUCAUCAUUCAGCCCUUCAUCAAUAGUUUCCAAGGUAUCACAAACCUUGUUGAACUCAUCAAUGUGCUCAUCAAGAGAGGAUCCCUCGGCCAUUUUGAGUGUAAACAUCAUCUUCUUGAUGUAUAAUCUGUUAGCCAAUGAUUUAGUCAUGUAUAAACUCUCAAGUUUUGCCCAUAACUCAGCCAUUGUUUUCUCCUUAGCCACUUUUCUGAUAACUAAGUCAUUGAGACUCAAGAUUAUCGUGCUUUUGGCCAUUUCUCUGAUAAUUUCAGCAGCUUGCUCAGGAGCACUUGAUGAAGACACCUUGUUUCCUUCUUUUUUGGUUGCUGGUUCAAUGGCAUCACUCAACCCCUGUGUAAUUAACAGUGCUUCUAUUUUCACUUUCCACAUGUUGAAAUCAUUCUUUCUGUUAAACUUUUCUAGAUCAAUUCUCGGAGCAGUCAUACUUGGAUCUGAUCUUUUAACCUAGCUCUGAUACCAAUUGAAAAUUCUGAUAAGUAAAUAACAGCAAGCUUUACAAAACACUCCCCAAGAUCUUAGAUUAGACUCAACAAGAUGCCUCACCAAACAAUCGUAAAAGCUUAACAAUUAAUGUACAAUUGACUAAGACGAUGAUUGUGUUUAUAAACAAACAAAUAAUUUAAUUGAAUGCAAGAAAUCACAGAACACAACUAGCUAACGUGGUUCAGUCAAUUUGCAUUGACUUACAUCCAUGGGGGAACAAACUCAUCAGCUUUAUUGAAUUUGAUCAAGUCUUGUUUACAGAGAUUACCAAGCACUCAAUAAGAACAAGAAAACUUCUAACUCUCAAACUUUCUUUUGCUCUCUACAAUGCUCUCAGUCUCUUGUCAACUCUCUGUUAUUUCAAGCUGUGUAUAACAGCUUAUAAACGACCUCAGAGGCAUUUCCAGAAACGCUCGUGAUGAUCAAGUGCAAUAACGACUUUUUAACAACCUUCUUGUUUGCACGUGUUCUGCUUGUGCUUCAUUAACUCCAAAACGGCAAGACUGUAUGUCGUUCUAACAAGCAAUAGAUUUACUUAUUUAAACGCAGUCUUCAUACGUCGUUUUGCUUCAGUUGUUGAGCAUCACAAAACGUAUAUCAGUACUGCCGUUUCAUCCUCUUUGAUUUGAUUCACUGAAUACACAACAAAAGUGUUUGGAAGAUUGCAGUACUCCUAUUAAAAAUUUCCUCUUAAAAAUAAAUGAUCGCAAACUUUAUCAUGCUUAAAAUCAUUUUUCAUCCACAGCAAAGAUAAGUCACUCUUAUGAUUUCAUUAUUAACCAAAAAAUCCACUAUUACAAGAACUUUACAACCACGGCAAUAAGUGAAAAUUAAUUCCAACAUAGAAGAGACUGGUAAAUCAUAUAACAUCAGACAUUAGUCACCAAACAUCAAAGAGAGUAAACAAUAGUAUAUAAACCAAAAUAACCGAUUAAUACUUACUUGGAUGUUAGUCGCUCUGCCAGGAAGAGUUCUCGCUGCAGCACCAAAAUCAAGCAUAUAUAAUGCUUCCAGUUCUAGAUAUUCUAAUCUAACAGCUGACUUCCUACAUCAACACAGACACUGACAAUUAUUAGAAGACCUACAAGGGGCAUCGGAAGCACACGUGAAAGCAUGUAGAAGCCUUUGAAACUGUGUUGUGUUUGAAGCAUCUUGGAUGACCUGGCUAAUAUCUAUUAUAUAGAAUAUAAUAUGUGAAAGAAUGAAUGAAAUGCCUUAAAAGCAUGUCUUUUUUAUAGCCUUCAUGAUCAAGCUCUAAUUCGCUACAUCAAUUUAAGCAGAGAAAUCAAUAAAGUGGAACUAAAUAACUUUCCCAGAAAUCAGAGAGGGAGAGAGACGGAUCAUAGAAGAAAAAUACGAGUAACUUGAAGUAAGUUGGUGGCCUCAUAAUCAAGAGCUGCAUGGUACCAAUUCUCAGCCUGGUAAUCAAGACAGUUCAAUUGCAUCCUAGAAUGUUGAAACGUCAUGAGCAUGAACCUUUGAGCUUCUUCGUAUCUCCAUAAUUUUUUUUUUUUUUGUCAAGACUUUCCCUGCUAGCUAUCAUCUCAUAAAGGACACAAUUGUAGAGUUCAAGAUCCUUCUGGAUGGUUUCACACAGAGAAAUAUUUAUUCUCCAAGGUACUCAUAAUUUGAUGAAUAGUUGAUUAAUCAAUCUUAUACGUAAAAUUAAGAGCUAAAAUGUAACACCCAAAUUUAACACAUGCGGAGCACGUGAAGAAGGAGGUUACUCACAAAUCAUAAUCUUUACUCAUAAGUUUCACACUGAAAUACCUCGAAUUCUCAUUCAAAUAAAUCCAUAAAUUCAAACGUUUAAUACUAAAUAAUCUCUCCUGAAGACAUAAAAAUAAUAACAAAAGCCUCAAACUCCAAAUUACACGUUCAUAUCAGAAAUAACUAAAUAGAAACAUAAGUCUAUUCCUCCUCUUAUUCAAAUGGCAAACGGAAACGAAAAUUACUAACUCUAAAGCUAAGCGCACCUCUCAAAAGAAACUUAAUCUGCAAAAAGUAAUGACGAGGGGUGAGCCGUCAACUCAGUAAGUAAAACCAUUCCUAACACACUAGGCCUAUCGAUACCAAAAAUAUUGCAAGCCUUCUUUUAAUUAAAAUAUACAUCAUAAUCCAUAAAUUUCAUAAAAUGAUAUAUCACGAUAAAAUAACAUAAAUUCAUUGUAGUUCAGAAUAUCAAAAGCAUAGUUACUUAUGAAAGCAAAUCAUAUAUCACAUUUACAAAAAACAAAAGGUUAGCUCAUGUCACAUAGUGUCACCUAUAGUCCUGGUGACCCGGCCAGAAACAUAAUCAGAAUAUCGUGUGCACACUCAGAACAGAAACCCAGUACUGGUCUAAAACAGACAUAUAUCGUAUUAUACGAUCAAAAUCAGAAUCAGAAUAACUACGGACAAUGAGCCAAAAUAUAAUGACUUAUAUGUGGCACUUUGCAUUAUAUAUGGCACUUUGCGACGCUUUGGCCUUCAAGAGGUGGCCCCCAUAUAGUCCCAAGAGGUGGCCCCUGUACAAUCAUAAAUAAUUGAAAUCAUACAUAGGUACAAAACAUUCGUAUCAGUUUCAUAAAUGUCCAUAACAACAAUUUGGGCUUGCAGAGUAUUUUAUACAUAAAAUCAUAAACGGUAGUCAUCAUAAAAUAAUUGACGUAUUAAAAAGCAUUUAUAAAAUACUUUGUUAAAAAGAAUUUAGGCUUUAAAACAUUUACAUAAAACUAAUUUUGUUAUCAAAAUCAAUUAAUCUUCUAAGUAGUAUAAAAACACUUAUACUUAUAAUAAUAUCAAAAUAAUUAUAUAUAUCCAAUACAUUAGGAAUAAAGUUACUUAUCUUGACAAAAGAAUUUUAAUUAAUGCACCUCUAUACCUCUAAGAGCCUCAACCACCUCCAACACCUUAAACAAAUACAAGAUAUGACAAUUAAUAACUUAUUCUAAGAACUUGAUUUUUUUCUCAUUCAUACUCGUACAGGUCUGAUUUUCGGAAUUUUAACUCUUAAUCUAAACCUCCAAAUGACAUAAUAUUAUACAAGGCUAUUUUGAACAUCCAAUGGUACCUCAUGUAAAGUUUUCAAGAGGAUCCGAUACCAAAAACAUUUUAAAAACUAUUUAUUACUAGACAAAUUUGAAACUGUUUUCACAGUACCUUGACCGAACAUAAUGGGUUCUGAGAUUUUUAUAAAAUACAAUACUGAUCAGAAAAUUACGAAAUUAAAACUGAAAAUAUUAGACACAUAAAUUAACUUCCAUAUAAAAUUUUAGAAUCUUUCGACUUCAUUUAAUAGUACCAAUAAUUUUGUGAAUCUGAUCGCAUUGCUGGAAUUGCAGUUUUCCAGUGCAGUGGUGUCUAUUUCGAAAAUACAUAUAAAAUUGAAAACGAAGUCAAAUUUAAUGAAACAAAAUUUAUUGAAGAAGCCUUACAUGUCUAGUUUCCAGAAAUAUAAAUUUCUUAAGAAAAAUCGUUUAGAAAAUACAGGUUUAAAUUCGAUGUACUCACACUGUCCAGAAUUAUCAUGUGUGCUUAAUGCAGCAAGGAUUAAUUAACUAGACUCAUAAUAAAUCAGAGCCCUAAACAAAGCCUAAACACACCCUAAAUCAUGCAUUAUGAUCUAUAACAAUCUAAAAUCAUGCCAAUAGAAACCCUAAAUAUAGUGAUUGGAAAUCUUGUAGAGAAUAGGGAGAAUAAACUUACCAAUCGCUUUGAUUCUCUCCUAAGCAAAUGUUUGAAUACUAGAGUUUGGGUAGGAGAGCAGCAGAGAAAAAGAAUAAACGUCAUGAACUUAGGGUCAUGGAAGGGGAAAAAUAUGAAUUUAUAAGGAGUCUUAUGUAACCCUAUUGAAUUUUAAAAAAUAAUCAUUUUUUAAAAUUAUCUCAUAAAUAAUCCUUAUUUAUAAUAUAAUAUCCCUUUUUAAUAAGGGUUAUAGGCCACACAUGAUUCCUAAUGAAAACCCAAUUUCCAUAAUGUAAUGUUAUGGAAAUUUGUGGCGUUACAUAAAAGCAUAAUCCAAUGCUUCAUUCUUCUCUCCUCAAUUCGUCCCCAUAACGAGCUGCAAUGGGGGGUUACAAAUUACAAUUGCCCUUAUGUGAGUAGCACCAAUCAAUGUACAAGGUUUACGUACAGGCAUGCACUCACUGGUUACUCAUCAAAUAUUCUUACCAUUUAUAUUUUAUUUUUAUUUAAAAAUACUAUUUGUCUUUUUUAUUUUAUAUCUAUUUCUCGUUAGAGUGUGAUUAUUUGUAUUUUUUUUUGAAAGAGUGACUAUUUAUAUUUUAAUAAUAUUUUUAACACUCAUAUUUUAUUAUUUUUUAAUUUUUAACUGUCUUUCAAUGUUUUUUAUUUUUUAUUUUAAUAUUUAAUAGGUGGUGUAAUUUAUUCAUGUGUAAUGUAAUUUAUUCAUAUGUGUAAAUUGUUAUUUGAUUUAACGCAUUUAUGUAAUAAAAUCUGUUUAUAAAAUGAAGGGUAUUUGUAGCAAAUUUUAGGGUGCGUAAACCAAAAACCUUCGAUGACGUGACAAAAAAUAAAUAAAUAAACGUGAUGAAAUCAAAGGACAAAUACAAAAAAAUAAAUGGGGUACAAUUACAAAAGACGGAAAAAUUGGGAAGCCAACUUACCAGUCAACCGAAAAGCUACCAGUCUCAUACUGAAACAGCUAUUGCUUCUUCUGCUCCUUCUUUUGGCUAAUCCUUUCGCUAAAAGUAAACUUUUUUCUCUUCUUCGAAUUAUAAUUAAUAAUUAUGUGAAUUUUUAUCCACCAAACAAAUAAUAAAAGAAAGACUACUCUUAUUGUUUCAUUGAUAAUUAAUGGCGAGAACCAGCAACAAGAACAUACAAGUCAAGCUGGUGGGUAUGUCUUUCCCUUUAUUUUCUUCUUUGAAAUUAUUUUUUGAUAAGAUUUAAUUUUCUGCCUGCAUGGAUCAUUGCAUUAGCAACAGGGUUCCUACGUUUUAUUUAGAUUCUUUUGCUGCUUUCGUUCUUGUGUUAGAUGUAUCUUACUCCAGGGGCUUCAAGAUUUGGCUUUCUGUUGUGAUUAUGUUAUUUUUAUUAAUUAAAAUUAUGAAGAUAUAACUGCUGCUUUGAUUAAAUUAGGAACGAACAACAGUUUAGUAUUUUAAUUGAACAGGAGAGACACAGCAUAUAAUUAGUUUCAACUUUUACUGUAGAACUUUGCUUCAGCUGCCUAUUAUUGCUGUUUCAUGAAGAUUUUUCAGUACCCAAUAUAGCAGCUAUUAUAUUCUAUUUAUGUACUACUGACAGAGAUCCUUGUUAAUGAAAUUUCUUGAUCUUUUUUUAUUCAGUUAAUUGACACAUUAUUGAGCUUUUGCCAGGUACUUCUUGGGGACAUGGGAACUGGGAAAACAAGUUUGGUAUUGAGAUUUGUCAAAGGCCAAUUUUUUGAUUUCCAGGUUUUGCUUUUGAAUGCGUUUUUCCUAGCUGAGUGUAUGUUCAACUUUUUUAAUUGCUUCUAAUGGUCAAGUGCAUGAGCUCUAAUGUAGUAACGCUGCAGGAAUCUACAAUUGGAGCAGCAUUCUUCACUCAGGUUUUGUCACUGAAUGAAGUCACCAUAAAGUUUGAUAUAUGGGACACGGCAGGGCAAGAACGGUACCAUAGCCUGGCUCCUAUGUACUAUCGAGGUGCAGCUGCAGCUGUCGUGGUGUAUGAUAUUACGAGCAUGGUAGUUAUUUCUAGUGGUUUUCAGUGAAGAAAUUUUGAAUUAGCUUCAAUCCUCUUCGUCCUAACUCGAUUUUCUAUUUAUCUAUGUGAAAGUUUUUGUAGUGGAUUGCACAUGUGAACCUUUAAUGAUUUUUUCACAUUCUAUUUCAACUUAUAAAAACAGCGGAUGUUAUUACUAUCUUUUUCAAUUUGUAUGACUAAAAUGUGUACUUUGUGAGACAAGAAGAUUACGAGCUAGGCGCUCUUGAGGUUUGACAUUAAGUGCUCAAUGACAUGAUCAAGUAGCCUUAGUAGAUCUCAUAUCAAUAGAGCAUACUGCAGGCCUUUUCUGAAUUUCAUCUUAUUCUGUUAAUAGCUGCUCUUGUUACUGAGUACUUCGUUAUGUACCUGAAUCAAACCCUUGUUGACUGUAAUAUUUAGCCUUAUUGAAAGAUAUUGAAUUUCCCAUUUACAGUUUCUUCCAAUUGUUUCAUGGAUGCCAUGCUAUUCUUAUCCAGAAGCCAGAUGUCUGGCUUAACUCAUAUUGCAUUUUUCUUCUAGGACUCAUUUGAAAGAGCGAAAAAGUGGGUUCAAGAAUUGCAAAGACAAGGUAACUAGAGUAUGUGAACCGUUUGCUUUCUCUUUGACUUAGGACCAGCAGAAGGUGUCUUAGAUAAACUGCAGUUAGAAGUUGUUCAGUUGAAAAUUUUGUCAUUAGUAGUUCCUCUCUGACUUGUCUUUUAUUUUAGUCGCUAGAGUGAAGUUUGCAAUCAGUUUCUAGACUAAGUCAUUCACUCGGACUAUUGUCAUCAGCAGGCCCUCAAUACUUUGUUUCUUACAUUAUUGAAACUUAAUUAACUUAGCACAAAUGGACAUGCUGUAUAUUGUCAUACUGUAAGCAGGCAACCUUUCAUGAUAUUCUCCUCACAUGUUUUAUGUCUGCUGUGGCACAUGAAGAUUCAAAUAUUGCUGUCCCACAAAGUUCUACAGCUACUUUUAAUAACUUUAAACGUUUUGUAUUUACUUGAAUCUGUAAAUUUCACAGAAUGUUCUCCUUCAAAAUGAUGUUACAACUUGUAUAGACUGCACUACUAACUAUUGAAAUACAAUUGGCUUUAUUCUAAGUCUUAUUUUUCAUUUUAUAUUGGUUCAGGAAAUCCAAAUUUGAUUAUGUUCUUGGUGGCAAACAAGGUUGAUUUGGAAGAAAAGAGAAAGGUGAAAAAUGAGGUAUCUGUCAAUUCGUCUAUUCUUUAUUUAUAAAUUUCUUUUUUUCUUUUCUUAUGGGUCAAUGGUCAGAAUUGAACCCAAGAACCACUCACCUUCACUCUUUUAGUGCUUGGAGAUCCUUGAACACCUUCUCACUUCAACAUCUGCUCCCUAGAGGUUGCCCUGAACAUCUAGGAACUUAGGUGUCGCAAGUGUCCUCUCUUUGUAUCUGAACUGCACUCUGUACACAAUUUCUUCGGUGAUAUAUCUACUGAAACUGAUUAAAUUUGUGUCUAUAUGAGAACACACUCGCAUAUAAACACAUCCCCGUAAAGCAAAUAGCUCCUUAUGGUUACACUUCAAACUUGUGUCAUGCAAUGGGGAGAGUAUUUCACAUGUAUUGUGUAAUUUAUGUUGGAGUUGAAUCUCUAAAAACUGUUUGCAGGAAGGGGAGUUGUAUGCCCAGGAAAAUGGUCUAUCUUUUCUUGAAACAUCCGCAAAGAGUGCACAUAAUGUCAACGAGCUCUUCUAUGAAAUAGGUGAUUGUACUGAAUGCUUCUCACUCCAAACUUAGCCCAUGCCUUUGUAUCUCAUGCUAAUUGUUGGAACUUCCACUCUGUCCCAGUUAGGAUUACCGUGUAAACUGCAAAGGGUUAUUAUAUAUUGCCUUCUGAUUUGCUCAUUCUUUUUUCUUUUAAGUAAAAUGAUAAUAUAUGUGGGUCAUGCUAAGUUACAUUAUAUGUAACUUACAUCAACCCAAGAUUUGUUCCCAAUAAAUCAAGUGUUGUUUGAUUAUUAACAUAUCUUGAGUUAAUGGGUGCAACUCUUGGGUUGGAUGUAACCCAUAUAUGAUGUAACUUAGCCACACCAUCUACACACGCACAAGCCCCCUUUCCCCCUGGGGAGAGAAAAUAUCCUACAAAGCAAGCAAAUGAUUUAUAGCUCCACAAUAAAUCCAAAAGUGUAUGUUUGCAAUUCAAGUCAUUGUUAAUGCAGCCACUAUGAUUCACAUAGGGUAGAUAUGCUUCUUGUUGUGGUAUGAUUUUUGUGAUUUAUUCAGACUUUCCCUUCAAAGCUCAUGGAUACAUUUUGCUUGCAGCAAAGAGACUGGCAGAAGUUAACCCUUCACGCCAAACUGGAAUGAAGUUGCAUACUGAAAGCCAUGGUGGUGGAAGAAGAGGGUUUUGUUGCUCCUGAAAAUGCCCACAUUUCCUAUCAAAUUCCAGGUGAUUUUCCAACAGGGGCUCCCCGCCCAUCGGAUCCCAUCUUUUAUUUAAAAUAUGAAGCCUCAGUUCAGUUCAAUUACAUGUUGUUUUCCUUGCAUUGCAAAUCAAUAUGUUUUGGAUGUUGGCAUUUGUUAACAGGUUUUCUUCGAUUAUUUUCAAGAAUAUUGCUAUAUGAGAUGGUAAUGGUGGAUUGUCGAGAGUUGAUGAUGGAGCUACCCUGAGGGCUAAUUCUAUUGCAUGCCUGUUGUACGUACGAGAGAACUUUUCACUACUGACGCUUUGUGACUUGUGACAUGUUCAUAUCUAUUAAUAAAUGACUACAGAACUCAAAAUGAAUAAAUGUGUGCUCAUUUAAAAGGUCGUCGAGGGAGUUAAAACUUAAGUUAUGAAUCAUAUGGCGAUGCAAUAUUAGCUGGUACUUUAGAAUCGAUAGCAUAAAGAAAAGAAAUGGGUAUAUAAUGUCAUAGUAGCCCCUAACCUCUUACACAUUGCAACUCAAAACAAAUACGGAAGCUCAAAGAUGAGCAACAUUAAUGUUUAGGCCUUAAAGAUGAUGAUUCAUCAAACGCACUGAAUCUCAAUUCUAAUUCUUUUUUGUAUCAAUUCAGCUUCGGUAUUUUUAAACAGGCCCGAAUAUCAUAACUUACAAUAUAUUAUCUGCAUGAAUUGGAUCGUAAAAGUAGCAGCAGUGGGGUGGGUUGUGGGCUCUAAAAGAAAUGUUUACAGACUUGGAUCAUCCACAGGCCUUAUGAUUGGUCAGAAGACAAAUAGUAGCUAGGGCAAAAGGUUCUCACCGAAUUUGACUCUGCCCCUGGAAAAGUAGAAGGCAGUUGUCAUGUAUCUUCAAGGAAGAUCAUAAACAUCUCCCAGGAUACAUCACGCAAACCAUUUCAGUCUUCGUGAAUAGACAAUAACUCAAAAUCUGUAAUCAAGAAAAUAUACAGCUGGAACAUUUUAUUCUUCAUGGGGAUGUUCACAUGCUAUAUCCAUUUGUUAAUUUACAUAGUCCAUCGAGGACAGAAAAUGGAUACAAAAUUUUGAAUUUUACAAAUGACAUUUUUGCUAAAACAACGCAUUUCAAGUGCAUAGGCCAAUUUUCAUUUGCAUGCAUGACCAGAAAUUAAAGAUACAAAAUUGGAUAGCAAUUAAUAUUGCUUCAUUUCAAGCAUGUGGGGGAUAGAGUUCCCAUAGCGCAACUGUUGAGUCUUCAGAUGCAGAGGCCAUGAGCUUACAAUCAGAUGAGAAUGAGACAGCAUUGCACUACAGUAAUAGCAGAUCAUUUACUUUUAGAAACUAGAAAUAAAUAACCACUCAAAUUUUGAGAAGCCUCAUAAAGAGCAAGAGAAAGCUCGAGAGAUUUAUCAAAUGUCACAAACAUGCAAGUUGCAAUGUCAUAAGAAAGGCAGCACAGAACUCCCUCAAAGUAGAAAAGAAAAACUAAGCCAGUCAACUAAGAGAUCAAUAUGCAGCUAAAUUAUCAGUCAGAUUAGAGGCCAUAGAAUAAUUUGUAUGUAGCUUCGAUUUUAAAUAAAGCAUGGAUGUAAGCUUAUAAACUCUUAAUGCCAAUGAAAAUGGAAAAUGAUGUAUACAUAGGAAUUUCCAAGUAUACGGAGAACAAGUACAAAAAUCUGCCAAGUGAAUAUUUUUUAUGUUGAGAUAAACAGAAAAAUAAAUAACUUCUUCAUUUCAACAUAAAACACUCAAAACUAUGAAGGGAACUUUUGAUUCAUUUUUUAUUCUUUUAACAUAUGAUAAGAGAAAACAUACCGUAGCAUGAUGAUACUUCAAUAUUGCCAGUGCACUUCCUUUGCGAUAAUUAUAUAUCCUAACUCUGUCAAGAAUGAGUAUUUAAAACGUUAAAUUAAAACGAGAAAAGGAACCAGUGAAAGAGGGACUGAAAGCUAACACAGUAGACAAGGUGACAGAUCUUUUAAAACAUAACCUGUAUGCUACAAAAAGUUAUUAAACUUCAGUGUGGUGGUUCUAGAAAUUAGGAAAACUUAAAGGGGAAAAAAAAUCUAAUAUUUGAUGUUGUUUCAACUUCUGGAAAAAGGAAAGGGAAGAGGAAGAAGAAGAAGAAGAAGAAUCUUAGCUAAGAUUGUAUGUAACAUAUCCGUAAUUUGCUACUAAGAGAACCUCGAGAUUGAUGGGAAAUUCUUUUAGGAGUUGAUCGAGUUCAAAUUGGUUUAAGAAAUCACUAAAAAAUUUCCUAGUAAAAUCAUAUAAUUUAGAAAUACUGACAUGUAAUCGAUCUUUUCCACUCGAUAUAUGAUUUAGACAUUAAACCAGGAACCUGUGUCAUUUAUAUCUUAUGUUUUUUGCAUUUCAAUGAAUAUCCUGAUAAAUUCAGACUAGAUAGAUUAAGUGAAAAAGAAUUCAAUACAGACCUGCGAUCCCAGCCAGCAGUUGCUGCAAUUUUGCUAUCAGGUCGAAUUGAGGUGCCUGAUAUGCCAGGUCGUUCCAAAUUUAUUUCCUUCUUGAUCACACACGAACCCUAUGCCAAAUAGCACGUACUGUAACUACACAUCAGACUUUAAAAAAUAUAUGCUGAGGUAGAGAAACCAAAGCAAAGAGUCAUUAACACGCAACAGGUAGUCAAGUAGUAGCAGUGAAACAAAUCAAGUUGUAGCACUCAAAGUCUGAAACAAACCAAUGAAAAUAAAAGGUCAAGAUAGUUUCCUACAGAAGCAUUAAUAAAAUUUAUAUCUUUCAUCUCACCCACUGCUGUUGGUCACUCCGUGUUAGGCCCCUCAAAAUUCCAAAUGUAAGGCUCAUAAUAAAAAAUAUGCGAAUGCAAAAAUUACACAUAUAUCCCUCCAUCUUCUGCUCAACUUCAACAUGCCACCAAUUGGCUUUCUUAUAAUACAGGAGAGGUUAUAUACAGAGAAUCAGAGCAAUAACUAAAUGACACAGUGACUUACCGUGGAAUGAUCUAAAUUAUACAGUACAAUCUUUUGGUCUGCACCUCCUGAUAUGCCUCCAUUGCAUGACUCAUCAAUGCUCAGACAUAGUACUGCAAACAAAAUAUGACAUGAAUCACACUGAAUGAGAAAAUAUAAGUGAGAAGGAAAAUAAAGGAGAAAAAGAAUACAUGGGGUUUCUCCACAUGCUGCAUUCCAAACCUGGCUCUAAAUGAACCUUCAUGGCAGUAAGUGGAAUCCCUGGAUUCCGUAUAUCCCAUACAAGAAUGGAACCAUCCUCAUAUCUGUCAUGUGUACAGGAAAAGGGACACACAUCAUAUAGGUUGAAAGGUUAAUGAACUUUAAGGAUCAAGGGAACUACUUUAUCUAUUAUAGUGUGGCACCUACGCAAAUCCAAAAACCUAAUGUUGGAUAAUCAUGAUCAGUGAUCAUAAACAGACUUAAAUUGCUGAAUACUGUGAACAUCUAUGGCCACAAACCACAUAAAAUGGCUUGAACUUUAGCCUGGAAUCCACCAACCAACCAAGAAACUUUUGAAUUCAUGUCAUAAAACCAAUAAAUGUGUGCAGGUACUUUGGGAAGGAGUACCUACCCUGCCAAGACAUUUACGAAUCCUUGUGAUUUAGAAGGUAAAUAUGCUUGAACCGCCAUGCACAUCCCUGAGAAGAAAGCAACUUAUUAUAUAUCUAACUUCCGGAUCAUUGAAGCAAGAAUACUUUUUCUAAAAUCAUAUUUUAUGUCACAUCAUGUCAUUCUGGAACACUUGCAAUAUUUUAAUCAGAUACAACCGUUCAAUCAAGUUAGGGGAUCAAACUUAUGAGUAUGCAUACAUAGUGGCUCUAUAUGCACAACUCUAAUAUAUUGUUUUACUGAAAUAACUAACACCAUUGUCAUAGGCCAAAAGGUGAUAUAAGAAAAGAAAGACCUCUUCCUUUAGACGAAAAGUUUGGAGAGCCCCCACAGCUGUUUUGAUGUAAUCGCGUACAUCUUUCUGCAGUGUUGAGAUCCCAUAUUUCGACCUUUAAACAUCAAAAACACAGAAACAGCGAACAAUUGGGAACAACAAAAAUAACAUAAUUCUCUACUUGAAAUAGAAAUUUGAAGCAGUAUAUUGACCUCAGAAAGCUGUUCUCCUGCUACGGCCAUAUACUUAGGUCCUUCAGCAGGCACAUCAUCUAUGAUUUCAAAAGAUCUAUUACUUUCUGCUUCAACUCAUCAUGCAUCGGUAAAGAUCAAAACAAAAACGUUCAAAAAAUGAGUGGAGUGAAACUUUCUCACAAUAUGUUGAAGAAACAUGUAUAUAUUAACUAAACCGGCUUGAAGAUCACUGUGACAUUCAUGUAUUUAUAGAUAACAGUCAGAAGUAUGCCUUGCCAUCCUGACAAGAUAUUACUACUUGGAUUCUUUUGCAAAUUACAAUUAAUCAUAUUAUGAAACAAAGACACGAUGUUAAUGCAUAAUUCAGCAUCCAGUUGUGGGGGGAAAAAGAAAAAAUUAAGAGAAAUUUUGUUGAGAUUAUUUGCCCAUUCUAAGCAUAUUUGAGUUCCCCACAGUAGACUAAUAAUAAAACCAUUUAUAUACUUUCACCAAAACUUUGAUGAUCAACUUUGAUUGGAAAUAAAUAAAUCCUUUUGCAAUAUUAAUUUCAACAAACCUACGAGGUUUGUUAAGCCUUACCUUUGCUGUCACACAGACUAUCUGUAUCAACUGUUUCUCCAACCUCCCUCUCAUAGCAAUCCUUAGGCUCGUUAGCUUGUUUUGCAUUAGCAUAAGGCUCCUUUACUAAUGAAAGCUUGCAAAAGUGAUAUGAGUUUGUUUUGAUAGUCAGUGAUGGGUUACUGCCAAUCACAACAGCUCAAUUUUAACAACCAAGACAAAAUUAACAAGGGGCAAUAAGGUUUCUAUGAAAUGAUAAGAAUAAAAAUUAAAUGUAGUGAAAAAAAACGUUCACAUACUAAAAGUACAAAUUCUAUAGGAAACACCCCACGCUAGUGAUGAAUGGUAACAACCCAUUCUCCUCAUAUCUGCGAACCCAAAACAUGUACUGAAUCGGUAAUGCUUCUACCAUCCCACAAAAAAGUCUACUACUCCCCUCACACAAAGAAUAACCAAUUUCCCUUUUAACAAUUUAUUAGUUGAUUGAUAAUCAGACAUUACAACCAAUCUACAUGUCACCGACAUAUGCAAAUAAAAGUGCUAAAUCAUGUAAUAAGCAAGCGGGCAGAAGACAAUAAACAUGAGCUAAUUUGUUUAUACAAGCGGAAGCCUAGGAUAAUAGUACCUUGAUAAACCUCCAUUUUCUAUGUCCCAACACUUAACAGUUCCAUCUCUACCCUGGCUACAAGACAUACGACACGAGCAUUAGUUCCCGAAGAUGAAAAAAUGAAAUCAAAUUUGUGGCAAAAAAAUGUAAAAUAGAAUAUUGAGAAAGCACCUUAUGACUUUGUUAAGUCCAAUUGAAGGACCAGUAGCAACAGAUACAAUGCCAUGUGCCGCACUAUGCACCCUGCAAGCAAUACAACGAUCAAAUUCAAAACCAUGAUCAUUAAAAAUAAUAAUAAUCAAAUGAAAGAAAUAACUGACCAUGAAGAAGACACGGUCCGGUGUUGAACCGUAUCCCAAAUUCGCAGCUCACCGCCAGUAGUACUGCAAAAUAAGAGUGCAAGUUUUAGUCAGUUCCGUAGAACGAAAAAACAAACAAACAAAAGAAUAAUAAAUGGAGUUUGAAUUAGAACCCUGCGAAUAGAAUUGGUUUUGUUUGAUGGAAACAAACGUCUGUGACGGAAGCCCGAUGGCCCCUUAGCACAGCCACCGGAUCAGGAGGUGGCGGUCUCUUGCUCAUUCUCCCAAAUCAACUUCUAGAAUGAUCAAUUUCAAAACGGUGCUGGAGCCUGGAGGUGUCGUUUUGGUCCUUUUUUGGAGCUGUUCGGGCUUGCAUUCGGUUACUUUUGGUAGCGGGAGUGUUGAUGUGUGUAGAGCACCAACGAAACGACGGGAAUCACAAGGACCUGCCAAUUGCCAUAAGAGUUAGAGUUGCUGACUCAAUUGCCUUAAUUUCAAUCAAAUUAUGUUUUUUUUUUUUUAAUUUAAUAAAAAUUUUCAGAUUUUCAGUUAUUAAGUUAAUGUUUUAAUUUUUUGUUUAAUUUAAAAAUCUGAACGAUAUCAAUAAAAAAAUAUUAUCCAAAAUACCUCUAUCUUUUUUAUUAAUUUAAAUAAAAUUUAAUAAUUAACUCUAUUACCUAUCUUUAUAACUUAUGAUAAUAUAAUGGCAGAUUAUUAUUAUUUUUUUAUCUUCUAUUUUCUCAAAUUAGCAUUAUUUAUGUUCAUAAAUUUUUAUGAAUAUUUUUCAUAUGGAAACAUUAUAAACUAUAAUAAAAUUAAUUAGCAUAAACUAAUUUAGAAUAUCAAAGGGUUGUAUUCAAUUGAAUAUGAUUUAUUUUAUAAUAAUAUAUUAUCUUAUUUAUAUUUUUUAAGAUGUCUAUUAUUUGUUUAACAUUUAUAAUUUAUAAGGGCAUAUAUGUAAAAACACUAAUUUUUAGAUUUUUUAAGUUAAAAAAUAACUUAAUACUUAUUUCAACGGUUCAGACAAAAAAAAUACUCAUAUCAGUUAAAUUCAAAUAAUUGGCUCUAUUCAAAAUUCAUAUUAAGAGGAUGUUUGUUUUUAACUUAAUGAUUUAAAGUGACUUAACUUAAAUAAUUAAGUUAAUAAGAGAUGUUUGUUUCUUUAACUUAGUGGGACUUUUCAAAUAAUUAUGACUUAAUAAGCCCCCCCCCCUUUUUUUUUUUACUAAUAGAGAAAUAUGAAUUAGUCAACUAAUUUCUAAUGUCAAAAAGAUUCAUAAUUUAUUACUUUUUUCAUGCCUAUCCAAAAAUCCACCCAUACAUGUUUAUCCACUAAUAAUCUCAUUUUUAUUUUCAACCAUCAUGGAAUCCCUCCUUACUUUGCUUUUUCUCAUCAUGUUCUUGAAUCUCUCAUUAUUGCUAAUCAAAGAUAUUAUUCUUAAGUUUUGUUAUGUAAUUAUAUAAUUUGUUUUUAUUUAAACGGUAAAAUGUUAUGAUAUUUAUGUCCUUUGAAAUAUACAUAUAUAAAGGAUGCAAAAGUAAAAGUACAUGUGUUAGUCUGAUUUUGGUUCAGCUCAAAGCACUAUGAGAACUUCUCUGCAGAGGGUUGUUUUCUGGUAAAGAUGCAUAUUGGGAUAUAUAGAGACGAUUUUCUAAGGAUGGUGAUAGCUAAGACAAACAUGAAAUCACAAGAAACAGACGUUAGAGGCAGCGCGAUGGCUAGAGACGGCAUUCCAACCGUCAAUAUAGUAUAAGGUUGAAGAAGAUGAUGGAUUUUCCAAAAACCCUACGAGAAAAUUAAGUGUUUUGUGAAUUAGUGAACUUACUUCUUUUGUGAUUAACCUGAUUUUUUAAAAGUAUAUUGCCCUUGAGGGCAUCUUUAUCUCCUUUUGAACAUGUGGCGAGCCGUUAUUAGUGACUUCCCUUCUCAGGUAGGGUUUUAAGGGUAAUUUGGCACAUCUUGUGGAGGUGUUUUAGCUUGUUUGGGUUGGAUAGCUGUCCACUAGGGAUAGUAUGUACUUGGCAACAUAUCAUCAACUCUGAUUGGCCGAUUUUAAAUGAACCAAUUGGGUUGAGAAGUACUUGAUUUCACUAGAGAUUGUGCAGGUGACUUUGUCUGUGAUCCCCUUUCCUCAAUUUUGACUUUGAUAGCUUGUAAGGAGAUAUUUUAGAGACAAUCGAGGUGGAGACUUUGUUGUGAUGAUGUGUCCUGUUACCGUUGGCAAGGCUAUCAUUGUUUUGUGGUCUCGUAUUAACACGUGGCGGGUUACACUAUAGGAGGCAUUGUUUGUUAUCCUCGGAUUAUUUGGGUGGCUGAUGCUAGUUCUUUGAGAUCUUCCAAUUUCAUCCUCCCUUUUUAGCUUCCUAUUUAUCCUUUGUCACAAUCCCGAGUCCUAUUCAAUACCUCUAGUCUACAUUUUACCACCAAUAAUAAAUGUUUUUUAGCUUUUAAAGUUGAAAAAACAAACCACUUAAUACUUAUGUUUAGAGAUUCACAAAAAUAUAUAUAUUAGAACGCUAAGAUUAUUAUAUAUUCACUUGAAUGUGGUUUUGGUUAUAUAUGGUAAAAUGUUAUGAUAUUUAUGUCCUUUGAAAUAUAUAUAUAUAUAUAUAAAGGAUGCAAAAGUAAAAGUACAUGUGUUGGUCUGAUUUUGGUUCAGCUCAAAGCACUAUGAGAACUUCUCUGCAGAGGGUUGUUUUCUGGUAAAAAUGCAUAUUGGGAUAUAUAGAGACGGUUUUCUAAGGAUGGUGAUAGCUAAGACAAACAUGAAAUCACAAGAAACAGACGUUAGAGGCAGCGCGAUGGCUAGAGACGGCAUUCCAACCGUCAAUAUAGUAUAAGGUUGAAGAAGAUGAUGGAUUUUCCAAAAACCCUACGAGAAAAUUAAGUGUUUUGUGAAUUAGUGAACUUACUUCUUUUGUGAUUAACCUGAUUUUUUAAAAGUAUAUUGCCCUUGAGGGCAUCUUUAUCUCCUUUUGAACAUGUGGCGAGCCGUUAUUAGUGACUUCCCUUCUCAGGUAGGGUUUUAAGGGUAAUUUGGCACAUCUUGUGGAGGUGUUUUAGCUUGUUUGGGUUGGAUAGCUGUCCACUAGGGAUAGUAUGUACUUGGCAACAUAUCCUCAACUCUGAUUGGCUGGUUUUAAAUGAACCAAUUGGGCUGAGAAGUACUUGAUUUCACUAGAGAUUGUGCAGGUGACUUUGUCUGUGAUCCCCUUUCCUCAAUUUUGACUUUGAUAGCUUGUAAGGAGAUAUUUUAGAGACAAUCGAGGUGAAGACUUUGUUGUGAUGAUGUGUCCUGUUACCGUUGGCAAGGCUAUCAUUGUUUUGUGGUCUCGUAUUAACACGUGGCGGGUUACACUAUAGGAGGCAUUAUUUGUUAUCCUCGAAUUAUUUAGGUGGCUGAUGCUAGUUCUUUGAGAUCUUCUAAUUUCAUCCUCCCUUUUUAGCUUCCUUUGUGAAUUAGUGAACUUACUUCUUUUAAAAACCCUACGAGAAAAUUAAGUGUUUUGUGAAUUAGUGAACUUACUUCUUUUGUGAUUAACCUGAUUUUUUAAAAGUAUAUUGCCCUUGAGGGCAUCUUUAUCUCCUUUUGAACAUGUGGCGAGCCGUUAUUAGUGACUUCCCUUCUCAGGUAGGGUUUUAAGGGUAAUUUGGCACAUCUUGUGGAGGUGUUUUAGCUUGUUUGGGUUGGAUAGCUGUCCACUAGGGAUAGUAUGUACUUGGCAACAUAUCCUCAACUCUGAUUGGCUGGUUUUAAAUGAACCAAUUGGGCUGAGAAGUACUUGAUUUCACUAGAGAUUGUGCAGGUGACUUUGUCUGUGAUCCCCUUUCCUCAAUUUUGACUUUGAUAGCUUGUAAGGAGAUAUUUUAGAGACAAUCGAGGUGAAGACUUUGUUGUGAUGAUAGGUGACUUUGUUUGUGGUCCCCUUUUCCUCAAUUUUGACUUUGAUAACUUGUAAGGAGAUAUUUUAGAGACAAUCGAGGUGGAGACUUUGUUGUGAUGAUGUGUCCUGUUACCGUUGGCAAGGCUAUCAUUGUUUUGUGGUCUCGUAUUAACACGUGGCGGGUUACACUAUAGGAGGCAUUAUUUGUUAUCCUCGAAUUAUUUAGGUGGCUGAUGCUAGUUCUUUGAGAUCUUCUAAUUUCAUCCUCCCUUUUUAGCUUCCUAUUUAUCCUUUGUCACAAUCCCGAGUCCUAUUCAAUACCUCUAGUCUACAUUUUACCACCAAUAAUAAAUGUUUUUUAGCUUUUAAAGUUGAAAAAACAAACCACUUAAUACUUAUGUUUAGAGAUUCACAAAAAUAUAUAUAUUAGAACGCUAAGAUUAUUAUAUAUUCACUUGAAUGUGGUUUUGGUUAUAUAUGGUAAAAUGUUAUGAUAUUUAUGUCCUUUGAAAUAUAUAUAUAUAUAUAUAAAGGAUGCAAAAGUAAAAGUACAUGUGUUGGUCUGAUUUUGGUUUAGCUCAAAGCACUAUGAGAACUUCUCUGCAGAGGGUUGUUUUCUGGUAAAGAUGCAUAUUGGGAUAUAUAGAGACGGUUUUCUAGGGAUAGUGAUAGCUAAGACAAACAUGAAAUCACAAGAAACAGACGUUAGAGGCAGCGCGAUGGCUAGAGACGGCAUUCCAACGGUCAAUAUAGUAUAAGGUUGAAGAUGAUGAUGGAUUUUCCAAAAACCCUACGAGAAAAUUAAGUGUUUUGUGAAUUAGUGAACUUACUUCUUUUGUGAUUAACCUGAUUUUUUAAAAGUAUAAUACCCUUGAGGGCAUAUUUAUCUCCUUUUGAACAUGUGGCGAGCCGUUAUUAGUGACUUCCCUUCUCAGGUAGGGUUUUAAGGGUAAUUUGGCACAUCUUGUGGAGGUGUUUUAGCUUGUUUGGGUUGGAUAGCUGUCCACUAGGGAUAGUAUGUACUUGGCAACAUAUCCUCAACUCUGAUUGGCUGGUUUUAAAUGAACCAAUUGGGCUGAGAAGUACUUGAUUUCACUAGAGAUUGUGCAGGUGACUUUGUCUGUGAUCCCCUUUCCUCAAUUUUGACUUUGAUAGCUUGUAAGGAGAUAUUUUAGAGACAAUCGAGGUGAAGACUUUGUUGUGAUGAUGUGUCCUGUUACCGUUGGCAAGGCUAUCAUUGUUUUGUGGUCUCGUAUUAACACGUGGCGGGUUACACUAUAGGAGGCAUUGUUUGUUAUCUUCAGAUUAUUUAGGUGGUUGAUGCUAGUUCUUUGAGAUCUUCCAAUUCCAUCCUCCCUUUUUAGCUUCCUAUUUAUCCUUUGUCACAAUCCCAAGUCCUAUUCAAUACCUCUAGUCUACAUUUUACCACCAAUAAUAAAUGUUUUUUAGCUUUUAAAGUUGAAAAAACAAAUCACUUAAUACUUAUGUUUAGAGAUUCACAAAAUAUAUAUAUAUAUAUAUUAUUCAAAAUCCAACAUUCAAGUUAAUUCAAAUUUCAAACUAAUUUAGAUUUAUUCAGAUUUCAUAUUAAAAUAAAAAAACAAACAGCAUCUAAUUUGGAUUUGUUCAGAUUUCAGAUAAAAAAAUAAAUACCGCUUUAGAGUAAUUUUGGCAUUAAAUUGAAUUAGAAAAUCAUGUAUAUUUUAUUUAUUGUGGCAAAUUAUUUUUUUUUCAUACACUAAUAUAUGUAUUAAAAUUAAAAAUUUAUUGAAAUUAUCUUUGAUAAGUCUAUUUUAUUAUAAUUUAAAAAUCUAUUCUUACAUAAUACCAAAAGAAUAUCUCCUCUAGUUACAUUUAGUGGGAUUUGAAACAUAUUCCUAUCCAAUUCAAUUGAAGAAGGAAAAUGAGAAGCUGAGACUCAACCCAUGCUCUAAAAUUUUCUAAAAUUUGUGAGUGCAUUAGCCCAUUAGGAAUUAAUUCCUUUUGAAAGGAAUUUGAAUCUAUGGCAAAUAGAUGUAGGCAAUUAAAAAUCUAAAAUUAGCAACUUAAUUAAUUCUCAAAAAUAUUGUUCACUGAUAUUGUUCACGAUUAUCGUUCAUGGUUACUAUUUACAGUUACUGUUCAUCCACAUCAAAAAUAUUAAUUUUUCAAGAAACAAUAAAUUGCAGAAAAUAAAGACACAAUGAUUUUUAUAUACCUCUCUUUAUAUAGACACUAAGGUUUCACAAAAAUAGUAAGUCUUUAAAGACUUUGAUUCUUUACAAAUAAGAGUUUCUUUCCUCUUAUAAUUCCUAUGAAUCUGAAUAGGAAUAAAUAUGAUUUCUUGUCUUACUUGUCUCCCAAGAAAUAUCUGGAGCAUUUAAUGAACUUCCUGUUUGAACCAGUUUCUAGCUCUAAAUAGAUCUCACGCGUCAAUUAUAGAAUCUCAUCAUUAAUUGACUUACUAAAUUAGACAUCUAAUUAAAUUAGGAAACAAAUAUUCCUAAUAAAUUGGAAUAUCACUAAAUUAGGGAAUUAAUAAAUUAAUCUCUAUUACAAGAUAUGCAAUAAAUAAAAUUCUAAUUUAACUAGACUUGUCAUAAGAUACAAACUCUAUAAAUAAUGGACUUAACACCUUUUAUUAUUAAUUCGCUCUCGAAUUUUAGGACUUGAAUCUUAAAGAAAAAACCAUUCUUUACUACUGUAUUUAGACGUUUACUUUGCUACGACAAUUAACUUUUUUCUGUUACGAUGGAUUGUAAAAUUAAUUCCUAUUACAAGAUAUGUAAUGAAUAAAAUUUCAAUUUAAUUAGACUUACCAUAAACUAUCAACUCUAUAAAUAAUGGACUUAACAUCUUUUAUUAUUAAUUCGCUCUCGAAUUUUAGGACUUUGAAUCUUAAUGAAAAAAUUACUCUUUACUACUGUAUUUAGACGGUUACUUUACUACGACAAUUAACUUUUUUCUGUUACAAUGGAUUGUAAAAUGGAAUCAUAAGAAUCCAAAAGAAAAUCGAAGUAGAAUUUGACAUUUUCAUAUCCUGUCUUAUUUUAGUGUUGAUGAUGCACAGAUGCAGGCAAACGGCGUAUUUGAAGAACGGCACUGUCCCGCCCAAACAAACAAUUAACUAUUGCGCGCUUCAAGACCGAAGAGAACGAAUCACAUGUUGCAGCCCAUACUUCCUCUUCGAUUUGUCAUUAUCAUCAAUUGAUUGCAGUUUUAACUAAAAAAAAUUACAAUUUUUAUAAUUACAAUUGGUAAAAAUGAUUAUCGGAUUGUGUUCAUGUCUUGUAAUUUUGUGUCGGUAAUAAAUUUAAGCUGGCCUAAAUAUGAUUUAUUAGAUAAUUAUUUUAAAAUAUUGAGAUUUUAAUCCACACAGAAAAUAAAUAAAUACCUUAAUAAUAUGUUUAGUCUUUAUAUUUAACAAGAUUUACAUUAAAUAUUUACAUUCAUUUAUAUAUGCACACGCAUAUUUGUCAAUAUUUUAUAUAUUUACACUAUUAAAGUUUUAAAUUUAUAUAAAAUUUUAUAAACGAAACACUACGUAUAUUUUCAUCAUUUCAAAAAAAAAAUAGAAAAAGAAAAUCAUGUCUAGUAGUUGAGUUUUGAUGAUGAGAGCAUACAAAUUGGUUUUAAAUAGAAAAUAUAAUUAUGUACUUAAUUAAGUAAAUGGUUAAGAAAUUUAACGUUAAUCCGACACAGAAAAAACCGUGUCAAUCCUAUCCUAAUCUAUUUAAUAAUAAUAUUAAAUUUAAUGACCCAUAUUCAUUUAUUUGUAUCGCAUUCGUAUUAGAUAAUUGAAUUAUGUCAAAUUUUAUCAGUUGUAUUUAACUAUUUAUAAUAUAAAAAAUUAUAAUAAUUACAGCUUUACUCACUACCGCUUCUAAUAUAAUAAUAUCCACAAAAGGACAAAUGCACUGUCGGUUAAUGGGAUUAAACAGCACAGCAUAAUCCAAUUAAGUGGAACUGAUGGGACAACAGCAGAUCUAAAUCUAAUCCACGUGGAAAGAUGUAAACGGGGUCACUUCGACAUUUUCCACUCUGAAUGCAUAAUUCAAUUACUUUUUGAUUAAUCAGGGAAUCGGCUACGUGUACAAAUCAGCUUCCUAAUCAAACAAACCCACAUGAAGGGCCUCGCCAAUGUCCUCAUCAACCCACACUCGUGUUCAUUAGUCCAUGUGCUAAUUGUUCUUUUGUAAUCUGAUUUCUGACAAUUGUUCCCAUGUUUUUAACCAUCAUUAACAAUGUCAUUAUUUUUAGAGUUUUUCCAUUAAUUAUUAACUUAAUAUUAUGAUGUCUAGUGGAUCUCCUAUAUGUUAAUUUAAUAUUGUAAAUUUUUAUUUUCUUAUAAUAUACAUAUAUCUCCUCAAUAAUACAGGCUAAUUGAGAUAGUCAUUACAGGAAUUAAAAUUAGGUAGAUAGAUGGUACAUCAAAAGUCAUGAUUUCUAAAUUUCUAGAUUUCUAGAUUUCUAAAUUUCUAGAUUUCUAGAUUUCUAAAUUUCUAAAUACAUUGGGAACUUAACGGACUUAGCCAGAUAAGGAAGAGGGAGGUGGGAUUAUUAUUUGGAUAGCUUCAAUAUGGACAAACAAGGUGAAGUCAUGGAGAGCCACCACUUUGAUUGGAUUAGUUCUAACCAUGAAUGACAAAAUCUCCAUUUCAAUAUUUUAUCAUAAAACAAAAUUAAAAUAAAACAAAAGUAAAAAAGCUGGUUGGCUCCUUUAGUAUUCCUACUGCUUUAUAUAUAUGUGUGUGUGUGUGUGUGUGUGUGUGUGUGUGUGUGUGUGUGUGUGUGUGUGUGUAUGCACCUAAAACAUUGUACAUUGGGAACUUAACGGACUUAGCCAGAUAAGGAAGAGGGAGGUGGGAUUAUUAUUUGGAUAGCUUCAAUAUGGACAAACAAGGUGAAGUCAUGGAGAGCCACCACUUUGAUUGGAUUAGUUCUAACCAUGAAUGACAAAAUCUCCAUUUCAAUAUUUUAUCAUAAAACAAAAUUAAAAUAAAACAAAAGUAAAAAAGCUGGUUGGCUCCUUUAGUAUUCCUACUGCUUUAUAUAUAUGUGUGUGUGUGUGUGUGUGUGUGUGUGUGUGUGUGUGUGUGUAUAGAUAUAGGUUGAUACAUAAGUUGCUUUUUCUUCGGACUCGGCUAUGGCCUCUCAUGGUAGCAUCAAAGUUAGCACUACCACCUCCCCAAAAGGUGGCAAGAGUACUACUGAUCCUCACGGCGGCGGUGCCGGUUCACCGAAAGGGCAGUGCCUGUGUUCGCCGACGACUCACCAAGGGUCGUUCCGGUGCAGAUUUCAUCGGACGGCUGCAGGAGGGUCAUCGGCGGCUUGGAUCAUGAAGCGAUCAAACUCCAUGCCUGCCGAUAAAUCAGCAGCGGUGGCUUCUUUUUCUCCCAAGUCAGUUGAGACUUGACCGCGCCUAUUCCAUGUAAGCUAAAGAUUAAUUAAUGGCAGCUAGCUGCUUCUUCAUAUAUAUCUUUCAAAGCUCUGUAAAAAAAAACAAUAUGUAAUAGCUUUGAUACUUGACUUUAUAUGUUUCUGCUUGGGAUUUUCAAUGCUUGAAACUGUUAAAACUCGUUCUUGAUAAUAGCCUAUAGGCAGCCCGCGGCUGGUAUGUAAAAUUAAUUCCUCCCUCUGUUGUUCGUUUGGCUCCUGUAUGUUAAUAAUUCUUGCUUUCAUUAUUAGUCUGUUCCCUUUUUUGUUCUCCGUUUAAUUAAGCUUGUAGAUUGAUGAAUCUGUUAUAUCAGUCUUUUUGACUCUGAAAAAUUAAUACCAAGAGACGAAUAUAGAAUUUUGUUUUUAUUUUUUUUUCUCCCCACUCAAAACAAGUUAGGGCACUAAUCUUUGACCUGAUCAAAUGGUAAUUAAAAAACCGAACGUAUAUAGUUCAUUCUUAUCCACAAAAAUUACACAUAUCGGUCGAGGACAAAAGCAAUAUUGAAGUUUGAUUAUAGUGUCUUCAUUUUUUUUUCAUUUUUUUUUUCUGGACGGUAAUGGAAUGGUUGGAUGAGUUAUGAAUGGCUCUCUCUCAUUUUAGGGUAAAGAACCCAUCAAAGAUUUUUUUUAUGUUAAAAUAAUAAAAUGAGUUGAUCAAGAUUGAAGAACGCUUGAUUUUUUGUUCCAAAGCUAUUCUGAGAUGGUGAUGGGCGCAUGUACGUGACAAUUCAUGAGAGUGUUUCCAUCCAGAAUCCAGAUAGCUACGCGCCUCUUAGGAAUUAAAAUUCAAUAAUUGAGAAUAUUAAUUCAUAAGUUGAUCAUACAAAUCAAAAGAAAAUGACAUCAAUGAAGUGUUUAAGCACCGUGGUGUGGAGUCGUAGUCCAUACCUCGUCCACAAAAAAGAUUUUGCUAUAACAUGACAGUACGCGUAUUAAUAUUGCUAAGCACGUGUAAUUUAAUUAACGUUUGAUUUUGUUUUUGCCAAUAAUAGGAGUCUUUUAAUCUUAGUUUAUCUAAAAGUUGUAUAAGGGUUACAUUUAUAAGCCCGUUUGACCAUUUGAGGUUCCUUAGCAAUAACAAUUUCUUGAAGCAGCGUUGUGAUGGGAUUUGUCUAAAGCGCUGAAACUGAUUUUGAGAGUUAAUUAAGGGAGUGAGUUCAAUUUUCUGCAAUUUCAGAAUUCGAGUUCUCCUUAAAUUAAUCUAUCGAAAAAAUCGUGAGUAAGUUCCUCAUGAAUUCUUUUAUAGUUCGGGCACUCUUAUUUUUUUCACAUUAUUAAAUCAUAAAGUUUAAAUAGAGUCGGUGCAGACAUGUUAUUAGACUGUAUAAUUUUAUAAUAUAUUGAGAAAUGAUUCUCUUAAGAGUGAUGAUACAACCAUAAUCUUUUGUACAUAUUUAUUUUAUACAAACUGAUAUGACAUUAAUUCAUUGGUUGAAUAAAAUUAUAAAAUAAUAUAAAUAAAUCAUGUGGGCUAAAAAAUAUUUAAUUCAAUCAAUGAAUUAACGUCAUAUCAAUUUGUACAAAAUAAGUUUGUACAAGAGUUUGUAACUACAUCAUUACUCUUCUAUUAAACCACACAAUUUAAUUUCGUGUCCACAUUAAAAAAAAAAAAUAGUGCCCGCACUUGAGAAUAAUUAGUGUCCUCCUAUAAAUGGAUGCGGUGAUUUAGGACGGCCGUAAUAAAAAUUAAUAAAUGAAAUCCAUUAAUUCUAAUAUAUUUAUGAUAAUUAAAUAUUAUUAGCAUUGUAACUCUAACUAAAAAAAAUUAUUUAAAAAUAAGAGAUUUUAAAAUGUAUCAAAGAUAAUACAAUUAAUGAGACACAUAUGAUACAUGCCAUUAAAUUUAAUACAAUUACAAUUUUCAUUAUAAUUUUUUAGAAUAAGUAUACAUAAUAGUAUUAGUUAUAUUAUUAUAUGACUAAUAUAAUGCCAAUAAAUAUAUUUUAGAAUUUCUCCAAUGUGAAAAAUAUAGUGAGCAACGGGUUAUUUUGCAGUUGACUUCUAAAGCGUGUCGCCAGAUAAGAUCUUGUCGUAAGCCACUCUGAUCAUGCCACGUCGCACUACAACCCCGCAAGACAUGCUUGCUAAACUAAAAUCACAAAAUUACAUCACAAGAAUUAAGGUGCCGUACGCAUUAAAAAGAUUAAUGAGAUAAAUUACCUCCUUCGGCCACAUCUAAAUCAUGCUACCACCAAGUCUCCUAACCCACCAAACAAAACAACGAUGGGUUCAGGUUCAACUCACGACCACGUGGCGUACGCGCCCCUUCCCACGGAAAACGUCAUCGUUCUACCCGUCUACUACCAACCCGAUCUCCGCCGCUGGCGGCGCCGCCGAAAUCUCAGCAGAUGUCUAUGCACAGCCGCCGCCAUCGCGAGUCUCCUCGCUGUUCUGGUAUUCAUAUUCUACCCCUCCGACCCGUACCUCCAACUCGCCCGUAUCCACCUCAAUCACAUCCGAGUCAACUCGUCUCCUCAACCCACGCUGGACCUUUCCUUCUCUCUCGUCGUCAAGGUCCACAACAGAGACUUCUUCUCGUUGAACUACGAUUCGCUCGAUGUUUCGAUCGGUUACAGAGGGAGAGAGCUAGGGUCGGUGAGGUCCCACGGAGGCCGAGUGAGAGCCAGAGGCAGCUCGUAUGUUAAUGCCUCGCUGAAACUCAAUGGCCUUGAGGUUAUUCAUGACGUUAUUUACUUGAUUGAGGAUUUGAUCAAGGGGGUCAUCCCCUUUGAUACCGUUACUAUGGUCAAAGGCGAGCUCGGAGUUUUGUUCUUUGAAAUUCCUUUGAAGGUAUUUUCUUUUUUAUAAACAUUCGUUCGCGGUGUUGAAUUAAUCGCUUGUAUUUUGAUUAGCUGUAUAUAUAUUUAUAUCCAAGUUGCCUUGAUUUCUUAAUUGUGAAUUGUGAGUUCAAUUAUUUGAUUGAUUUAGAAACAAACAAUUCGGAGAAUUACUACGCAUAUUUAUGAUUUUUGAACUGUUUCAGGCGAAAGUAUCCUGUGAAGUGUAUGUAAAUACAAGCAACCAAACUAUUGUCCGGCAAGAUUGUUACCCUGAGGUGAGAAAAGUGCAUUUCUCUUAUGUAGCUGAACAGGAUUUUGAUUUAAAUAGAAAUUUGCUGUGCAACAAAAUUCCAUUUUAAGUGCCGUAGAUAAUGCUGUUCUUGAUUAUAAUGUUGGGAGAAUGUCUGGUUGUAUACCUAGGAGUGUUACAUGCUAAUCAUCCCCAAGUUACACAUGUAACUAUGAAUGCUUUGCUUGUUUUAGUUUUAUCUGGUGUGGAUCAAUCAUUUGUUGUCUGGGCAUCCACUAUCUGUUAAACUGACUAACAUAGUGAUUUAGAACACAUUGUCCAAUGAAUCAGAUGAAGAAAUGGGAGAAAUCGAGGCAUGAAAAAGGAGAGACAAUUCAGAAGAACGUGGGAAGGAGUAUAAUAAACUACAUUCCAAUAAUCAUUGAUAGCUUCAAGACUACUCAAAAAUGAGAAAGAAAUCUCUAUUUAUAGUGGCCAAACCCUAGAUAGACUGGGAAAUUGAUCUGUGCUUAAGAAAAGAAAUAUACUUGUAGAAAGUAAUAUAACACUCACUCAAAUAAGAAAAUUAUUAUAGGUAGGCUAAAUAUUACCAAAACAUUUAACUGAUCUUGACUUAAAUAAGCAAGAAUCUAUUAAUCUUCCUAAGAUCCUAAAUAGAGAUUUCUUGGUCUGUAUCACUUGAACAGUUGACCUAAAUUAAUUUGUGCUGUGCUUUGGUUAAGUUAGUUCAAUUUACAUUGUUGUCUCUUGUUGAUCUUGCCUGCAUAACAAGUAACUGCCCCGAAGCAUCAAUUUUAUAAAGCUGACUCAUGACCUGAAAUUUGAUUUUGCAGUGAUGUGUUGGAUGCCACCAAUUUACUAUUAUUGUUUAGUCGAUGAAUUGGCAAGAAAUCCUGUUUGAUGCGAGACAUACACCAUUGUUUCCUUGUGGUCCCAUGGGUAUGUUUCACUUGUGCAGGAAUAGGAGUUACAUGGAGAGGUUGGCGUGUGUUAAUUACAUGGUUUAAACUUGUAUUUUUGAAAAGGAUUUAUCAGUUUCAGUAACCACACCAGUGCAUUUGUAUCAUGCCCUUAAUAUAUAAGAAAUAUUAAAUUUAAAUUUAGUUGGAACUUUCUUGUGUAUAUUUUAUCUGAGACAGAAUGAUGGAAACUGUGCACUGAAUAUGCUAUUUUAAACUAGCUCUUUUCACCUUGUAACUUAAUAAUAUUUUGAGGGUUCAAGUCACAUAUCGAGUUGCCUUUUAUUGCAUGAGUAGGGAUAGCAAUUUGACAUAGGUUUGUGUGGAGUUUGGGUAGCCACUUUGAGGUGAAAAGUCUUGGCUGCUUUUGGUGUACUGCUUUUUUUUCAUUCAUUCUUUGCCACAUGUGUGUUUCAAUCAAUCAUAAUAAUAUGUAAACACACGAAGCAAGCAAUGGAUAAAUGAAGUGCAAUGCUCCAGGUGCACUAAAUGCCUUCUCACUUCGAGGACAUGGCCUGCCUUUCUAAAUAAUCUCACAGUAGGUUCUUUUCUUGUUGACUUGUAAAAACUUGACACAUCUCCGAUGUAAGCCACUCUGAUCUUGCCAUGUCAUGAAAUAAACCCACAACAAAACAUGUUUACUAACCUCAAAUCACAAAAUUACAUGACAAAUUAGGGUGUCGUGCACAGAUGAAGAUAAUAAGAUAAUAAAGUGCGUUUAGUAUUAUUUUUCAAAGGUAGCGCUAUUUGCACUUAAAAAAUUGUAUCGAACACCUAUUUUUUAACUCUAAAAAUUAUAUUGAGCAUUUUUUUAAUUAAUAUUUUUAAGAUUAAAAAAAUAAUAGAGUAAUUUAUUAUUAACUACGAUCUAAUAAUAACAUUAAAUCAAACAUCAUUCCUCUUUCAUUUCUUCAUGUCUAUUCUCCCUCUUAAACAUCAUUAAUCAUCAAACAGAACAAAUUUUCUAUUUGACGGAAUAGAUGAAAAUUUUAAAUGUCAAAUUGUGUAUUUCUGUUUUACAUGCAGUUUAAUAAAUAGCAUACAAAGAACCCAAUGAAAAGCACUGCUGUCCAUUCUAGUGCCUCAUUUUUAUUUAUAAAGUCGGCUGAAUGCAAAUGAAAGUUCAAAAUUAGCAAAGAUACAAUUAGUACUUGAAAGGCUAUUCUUCACUUUUGGGUUUGCAAGAUUCAUAUGGAAUUGUAUUGAUUGGAGGUAAUGGGUUUUAAAUUUUCUAUCUCUGCAUUAAGUAAUUAAGUUAGAUUUUGAUUAGUUAUCAGUUAUGUUUUAAAUUAUUGACGGAGUAGAGUUUUACAGUAGAAAGAAAAUGGCUAAAAGGUUAAAUGAAGGGUAUUUUACCCAUUUUAAUAUGUUGUUUGAGUAAUUUUAAAUUUAAUAAAUGAAUACUAAAAAUAAAGAGUUGUUUAGAGUGCAAAUAAUCUUACCUUUUUUCACAUGGUGUUUUUUUUUUCUUUUAUUUGUUUUAUAAUAUUUGAAUUAUUAGUUUCAGUAAAAUAGAAAAACGAGUUUGGCAACUUCUUAUUCGUAUGAUAUUUCUGAAAAUGAAGAAAAAUAAAAUAGUAAAAAUACGUUCGUAGUAUGUUGGAACAUAUUAUUAUGAAAAUAAUACAUAUGAAUUACGAGUAAUGCUUUUUGCACCCCUUUAUUUUCCUUAUAAAACCUCAUUUUUUAAACUGUAGUUUUAUUGCUAAAAGAAAUUACUGAAAAAGACAAAUACGAAUUUAGUUAAACUAAAAUGUCUUUACAAAAGCCCUAACUAUUUUUAAAUCUUAAUAUGUGAGAGAAAUAAUUUUUUUAUAAAACUAAUAAAAAAUUAUUUUGAAGCAAUGAUUUAAUUAUGAAAAAGUAUAUUUCAUAAUUUAAUUAAUUUAUUUUAGAUGAGAAUAAAAUGUAAUUAAAACUCUAUGGCAAUUUUUUUGUCUUUUUAAUAAUUUCAUAAAAGAAAAAGGUAUAAAUAUAAAAUAUGGGGUUUCAUCAGUGCUAUAGAAGGGAGUUAGAAACUUCACUCAAUGAUUAUAAGGGGGUAAAUUUGAUUUAGGAUGCAUUUGAGAUUGAUGUUAGAUAACUGUAAUUUAAAAAUUACAGCAUUAAAAUGUUUGGUAAAUAUUAACUAUUGUAACUUGAAAUCUAUAUUAAUAUAGUUUUUUACUUGUAUCAUGAAAAAUUUAUUAUAUUUUUAAUAUUUUUGUUAAAAUUAUUAUUGAAAAUUUAUAGUUACUAUAAAUUAUUAAUUUUUAUUUCAUAGUUAUAACUUUUUUUACAACAACUAUAGCUUAAAAAGUGCCACACUUCCGGCCAAUACUUUAAUGUUUUGUUUACUUUUUGGAGUGGGAGUGAGGAUUAUAAAUUUCUCACACUCCAGUGUUUACUUAUAAAUUUUAAAAAAAGUAAGAAUCUCACUCUGUGGGUCCCAUCUAAUUUUAGAGUAAGGACUAAGGAGUGGGAAUCCCAUUCCUAGGGGGGGAGUGGGAGUGGAAAUCCACUCUUCCCUUCUCUUAUUACUANNNNNNNNNNNNNNNNNNNNNNNNNNNNNNNNNNNNNNNNNNNNNNNNNNNNNNNNNNNNNNNNNNNNNNNNNNNNNNNNNNNNNNNNNNNNNNNNNNNNNNNNNNNNNNNNNNNNNNNNNNNNNNNNNNNNNNNNNNNNNNNNNNNNNNNNNNNNNNNNNNNNNNNNNNNNNNNNNNNNNNNNNNNNNNNNNNNNNNNNNNNNNNNNNNNNNNNNNNNNNNNNNNNNNNNNAUGUACGGUACAGCAGUUUUAUUUAAUAUUAGUAAUUAAUAAUAAUAAAUAAUUUAUUCUAAGAAAAUAUUAAUUUUGUAUUAUAUUAUUAAUAAUGUUUCAUUUGUGUUGUUCUUAUUAAUAAUUUUUUAUUUACAUAAUUAAAAUUAAGAGUAGUAAGAAAUUAUAAUUUACAUAAUUAAUAAUAUUAUAAAUUAUUAUUAAUUUAUAAAUAUAAUAAAAUAAAUAUUUUAUUUUUUAAAUAUAUAUUUUAUUAAUUUUAUAAUUAAAAACUAUAAUUCUUUAAAUAAAGAUAAAACUAUAAUUUAAAACCAUUUACUCUCAAUUCAAAACUAUAUAAACACAUAAAUUAAAUUAUUAUUUUAAUUUUUCAAUAUAAAUAAAUAAUCUAAUCCCACUUCAUACUCAAGAUUCCCGUUACAAUUCAAAAUGUAAUCGCCGCUUAAUUGCAGUGCAGUUUGCAAAUAAAAAUAAUAUUAGUUUAAUUUUCAAUUUCAAAUAUGUGGGACCCAGUAUGUAAUCUUAGCAGAUGUCUAUCCUCAAUCGCCUCCAUCGUUCUCUUCUCUCUUCCGAUGUUCUUAAUAUUCCCUUCCGACUCGUACCCUCCGACUCGUCCGAAUCCACCUCAAUUACAUCCGAGUCAAAUCGUUUACUAAACUCACGCUGGACCUCUCUUCCUCUCUAACGAUCAAGGUCCACAACAUAGACUUCGUCUCGUUGACCUACGAUUUGCUCGACGUUUCGAUGGGUUACAGAGAGAAGAGCUAGGGUUGGUUAGGUCCCCCGGAAGUAGAGUGAGAGCCAGAGGCAGCUCGUGUGUUGAUGCCACGCUGGAACUUGAUGGCCUUGAGGUUAUUCACGAUGUUCUUACUUGAUUGAGGAUUUGACUGAGGGAGUCAUUCCCUUUGAUACUGUUACUAUGGUCAAUGGCGAACUCCGACUUCUGUUCCUUGAAAUUCCUCUGAUUUUUUUUCGCAUUAUGUGUGAAUUGUGAUUUCAAUUAUAAUUGAUUUAGAAGCAAACAAUUCGGAGAUAAUUAGGAAUAUUUAUGUUUUUUUAACUGCUUCAGUCAAAAUUAUCCUUUGAAGUGUAUGUAAAUACAAGCAACCAAACGAUUGUCUGUCAAAAUUGUUACCCUUAUGUGAUAAAACAUUCUUCUUUUAUAUAGCUGAAUAGUAUUUUUAUUUAAAUAGCGAUGCAACUGCUUUCAAGUUGAGAGAGUUCUUGGACAUCUUCAUUGCACCAAAAUCAUCUUGAUCAUUGUUCCUCUGUUUAAAUUUUGAUGUGCCACAACAACAAUCCAUUUUUAAUGUGCUUCUUGAUUAUAAUGGUGGAAGAUGUCUGGUUGUGUACCUAGGAGUGUUACUAAUCAUUCCUGGCAUAUAACUAUGGAUUGUUUUGCUUGUUUUGGCUUAUCUGGUGUGUCGUCUGGUGCAUGCGCUAUCUGUUAACAUAGUGAUUUAGGAGGCAUUGUCCAAUGAACAACAGGAAGAAAUGGGAGAAAUCCAGAUAUGAAAUAGGAGAGAUAAAAUUCUGAAGAAAGUGAGAGGGAAUGUCAUAAACUACAUUCCAAUAAUCAUUGGUAGCAUCAAGAUUACUCAAAAAUGAAAAGAAAGCUCUAUUUAUAGUAGCCAUCCCCUAGAUAAAAUGGGAAAUUUAAAUCUGCUUAGGAAAAGAAAUAUACUCGUAGUAAGCAUAUAGCACUUUCCCAAACAAGAAAAUCAUUAUAGGUGGGCUAAAUAUUACUUAAACAUUUAACCAAUCUCAACUUAAAUAAGCAAUAAUCUUAAUUCAUAAGAUCCUAAAUAGAGAUUUCUUGUUCUGUAUCACAUGGACAGCUGACCUAACUUAAUUUGUGUAUGCUUUGGUUAAAGUAGUUCAAUGUACUUUUUGGUCUCUCAUUGGUCUUGUCUGCAUGACAAAUAACUGCCCUGAAGCGUCAAUUAUUUACAGCUGACCCAUUUCCUGGGAUUUGAUUUUUCAGUGAUUCAUUGAAUGCCACCAAUGUCGAUGAUUGGCUGCAGGAAUUCGUGUUUGAUUGGAGACAUGCAACAUUGUUUCUUUGUGGUCCCUUGGGUGAAUUAACUUGUUCAGGAGUAGGAGUUACAUAAAGAGGUUGGUGUGUGCUAUCUACAUGGUUUAAACUUGUAAUUUUUAAAAGGAUUUACAUUUGUUUUGAGUACCACACCAGUAUAGUUAAGAACUUUCUUGUAUAUAUUUAUCUGAGAGAGAAUGAUUGAAACUGUGCAAAGAUUGCGCUAAUUUUAAUUGUGCUAGAGGAAUGGGCUCUUUUAUCCUUGUAGCUUCAGAAUAUUUAAAGAUAGAACUGUUAUCUUUUGCAACUUCAGUGACAUGCCUUGAGUUAAUCUUGCAAUAGAUUUGGUGCUCUAGUAGCCCAGGACUCUACAGAGUUGCCUUUGAUUACACAAGCAAGGAGGCUUGUGGAGUUCUUGGUCCUAGAGUCCUUUUGCAUAAAAAGUGAUUAUUUGUGGGAGUAGAUUUAUGAGCCAAUUCUCAGGAAAUCUCUGGGUUAGACUACAAAGUAUAUGUAUUCAGACUCCUGACAGAUUAUAUAGAGGAUCUGGCUAUGUUGCAACAGUUGUCCUGUACCCCAAUUUUUGUCUUUUAUAGUUUAACUACUGUCAAAUUUACUUGAGCACCCUGCACUCUUUUCAUUUACAAUUUGUUUGUCUUAAAAGGACAAAAUUACCCUUCCUGCAAAUAUUUCUGAACAAAAGAAAUAGAUAAGGUGCAGAGUUUAGGUAUUUUUGGUGUUACGAAAAGCCGUGGCAACAAUGAACUUUGCCUUCUUCUCCUCCUCUUCUCAUUUGAAAUUGUUUAUAGCCUUGAUACCAAAUUUACAAGCGUACGGCUUGCUGCUCUGGGCAGUGGGCAGACAUCAUGCGUAUGAACCUUAGCAUUGUGAUCUCUUGGUGAAAUAUAUAAACUUUGAUGCUUAUCAUAGCAUAUCUAGGACUAGCUCGAGCUUUAAUCCUGUGAUUAAUUAAGAAGUAUGCUCAUGAUAUAUGGACCCAUGCUUAUCCUCCGAUUAAGAAGUAUACUCAGCAAAAAAGAAAACUAUUGUACAUUUUUCCUUUGAUGAUUUGGGGAAGGUGUGUUUCCAAGGAAGAGUGUAAAAUUAGCAAAUGAUAUUGGAAUGGAUAAUUCAAGAAUAGAAAAUGGGGAAACUCUGAAGUAGAUUUUAUUUUCUUCUCUUUAGCAUAUUUUACUGAUUUUAAUUUUUUGUUUUUUUUCCAUGGAUGGCAUAACCUUGCAUUUCAUUUUAAUGACUGUGAUUUGCUUAAAAAAAAAAUCUGCUAAUAAUAAAUAAGAAAGAAAUAAAAAGUGUAAAUCUUUUUUUCAUGUGCUAUUUUUGUUAUACUCUAGCACCAGCAUUGACUCUGAAUACACUUGCCUUUUCAUGGACAGCCAGUGCCAUUACGAAUUUCAUAAUCAACUUUUUUUUUUGGUCUAAUUUGUAUUAUAUAGACUGUUUGCAUAAUGAGUUAUGAGUGCGUGGCUUAAAUCAUGUGAUUGAUGGAACUUUUUUUGUCACUCAUGCACUUUCUUGUGUGCUCAGCAUCUAAGGUAGGGAUGGCAAUGGGGAGAGGAGGGGAGGGGACUAAUCUCUCCGUAUCUAUCUCCGAUAUUUUGCGUAUGUUCCCGUCCCCUUCCCGUCCCCGUUAAAAUUAUUUAAGAGAAUCCUCAUCCCCUUCCCGAAUAAUAACAGGGGAUCCCUGAAGGUCCCCGAUCCCCGAAUAACUAAUACAUUUUUUUAUUUUUGAUUUUGAGUUAAUCAUAUUAAAAUAAAAAAUUCAAAUAAAAGUAAAGUUCGAAAUAUAUCUUACAUUAAUAUCCAUUACAAAAGUCACAUACAUUAAAUUAGUAAGUAACGCAGCAUGCAAGGAAUACAAACUAUCAUGAACAAAUUAAUAGCCUAAUACAAAAUUGUUACAAAUAAAAUCAAAUUUAGAUUCAAAAUUAACUUUUCAAUGGUGGUGUGGGCACUUUAUAAAUUUGGAUUAUUCACUUUACAGCACAAUAGUUAAGUCGUAGCAAAUCAAUAGCAAAUAUUAGAUUAGAUUAGAUAUUAAAAUUGUGAUUUGUUGUGGGCAACUAUAACAUCUAAAAAUAAAUAAAAAAUAGACUUAAGUUUAAAAUAUUUCAUGAAUAUUAAAAUUAAAACAAAAGUUUUAACCUAAUAGAAUCUAUCCGGUCUUUUUAAUGUCCUAAAUAAAAAUUUAGGACUUUAAUUAGUUAAUUAGGCCUAAAAGUUUAAUAAUAUAAAUAUUUUGAUAUUUUUUUAUUUUUACCAAUACUUAUAAUUUUAUAAUUCAAACUUUAUUAUUUUUUUACUAGUAAUUUUAAAAAAUAAAAAUUAAAAUGGGGAAAUGGGUAGGGGAUGGGGAUUCCACCUCAUCCCCGUCCCUUCCUCGAAUAAGAAAUUGGGUAAAAAAAUUUCUCCAUCCCUUCCCCGAAUAAGAAAUUAGGUAUAAAAUUAUCCUCAUACCCUCUCCGAAUGAAAAAAAUCCCCGAGAGUACCCGUGCCCGUGGGGAUUUUUGUCAUCCCUAAUCUAAGGUACAUCCCUUGCGCCUUGACUAUUUCUGCUCCUUUGGUCAGGUUAUUGCUUUAGCUAACGGGAAAGAAGAAAACGAGUGAUGAAUCAGGCCAGUGAGCUGAUGAAUCUGGCCAGAGAGUGACAAAUCUGUCCGGUGAGGCGGUGACUGAUGCACGAGAGAGAGGGAGUGCCGAUGACGCGAUGAAAGCAGGGGAGGGAGAUGUGAUGGAAGCUUCUGGUUUAUGCGAGAGAGAGAGUGUGUUUAGGUUUUUAGGGAAUUUUUUGUUUUUUUUUAAUUUUUCGCUAUUUUUAUUUUUAUAUGAAGUAAGGGUAUUUUUUAAAUAAUAAAAAAUUUAUGGGAGUAGAAUGGGAAAUCCCAGAGAGUCUGAUUCCCAAGUGAGUUCUCAUUCUUGAUUCCCGAAUUAUUGUGGGGUUCACAAAAAUGAUUCCCAUUCCCCUCCUUAUUUUACUAAGUAAAUGCAGGAAUCAUUCCAAUUUCAAAUUUCCAUUCCUGAAUUCGGCAAGUAAACGCAGCUUAAUACUUAUAAAAAUAAUAAAUAAAAAGAGAGUAAUGUGUUAACCAGAAUCUUUAGUAGUGUAUGUAAGUAGAAAAUAUCACAAUAUUUCUUAAUAUUUUAUAAACAAAAGGAGUUUAAAGUGAUUGGUGAAAUUUAACAUUAGUUAAAUCAUAAAGUACAAAGAUGGGAACGUUACCAGUUGUUGCAACGUAGAUGAACCCAUAUAUACAUAUAAAUCGUAAUAAAUUCAAAAUUAAAAAAGGACAAAUGAAAAGAAAAAAGAAGCCGGAGAGAUGUCCAUUGAAUAGCAAGCCUAUCCUGAAGGAUGGAUUUGUGCUUUGAAUAGUUGCGUGCCUGGUCAACAUCUUAGAAAAGUCUCGUCUGAUUGAGGCUUUCAUAAUUGGCCAAAUGGACCGAGAACUCCGGUGCCGGUGGUCAUAUUGAUGCAAAUGUGCAAUUACAAAUUGUGAGGCCGCUGAAUGAGCCCAUUCGAAGAGAGAAAAAUGAAGAGAUUGAUGGAUGCCUGCCGAGAGUGUCACUUUUCAAGCCUGUGGGCCAUUUCCAAUAUUAUUGUUGAAGCUUCUACCCUCCAGCGCAGAAGAAUUCUCUGAUCACUCACAUUCACACCUGCUCAUCAAUCAAACAAUGCAAAUCUUUACCAUAAAAAUGAAUUUGGACAAGGACCCAACACUCAGCUGGCUUCCGUUAUUAAAUUUGUCUAGGUAUAGACAAAUUGUGGACAUUUCUGGCGUUUGUAAAAAUUUGUGUGAAGGAACUCGGUUGAAUAUUGAAAGUGGAUGUUAUUUUUCUUGUUCUUCGUCCUUUAUAGAAUCGUGAUUAUGUAAAAGGAAGACAUAAGGAGAAGGAAAGAAGCUCAACGAUAUUAUUCACAUUAACUAGCUUGAGACCAAGACUUCAAGAGUGAUUAAUAUUAAAAAAGCUGAGUUACUGCGUCGAGCAUAUCAAAUACAUGUAUUUCUUUAUUUCAUUUAUACACUUAACAUGAUAAUCAGAUAAAACCUACAGCUAAUUACAGACUGGAGUUGACUCAACUUUUGUUAUACGACCACGCCACACAUACUGGGCAUGGUGGUGCCUGCAACGAAAGGAACCCGGGUGCGUCGUCGGUGAACAAACGCACUGCUUUAUCAAGCCACCGCCGCUGCCACCAUCACCACCAGCAGCCUCUCCACCCACUUCUUCAUUUGCUCCCUGCACCGGAACCCUUGAGACAAACCAUCUGCCUUGAACCAGCACCAAGUCUGUACGGCUAACCAGACUUACGCCUGUUGGGUAACACAUUUUCCUUUUGUGCUUUCACGCCCUCUUCUAAAGUCUAUGUUAUUUUGUGUUGUCGAAUGUGCAGCCUGAAAAGAGAAGAAAAGAAAAGAAUCUGCGUGCUUUAAGAGAGAUUAUUAUGCAAAAGAAAAGAAAGGAAGAAUGAAAGAGAGGUGGCCAAGCAAAGUUUUUAUUUUAUUUAUAUACGUUUUUGGGAUACAGAUAUAUGUAAAAAGCUUUUAGGUUGAUUCGCAUAAAACAUUUUGCUUUUUCCAAAGCUCCCAAUUAGGCGUUUUGCGCAUAUGUUCUCUCAGGUGAUGAUACUUCUCUGAAAACGAGGUUCUCAUGCGUACACGUGUCCAAACCAUUGUCUAUCAGAAGAUUAGACAGCCGUGGAUAGAUAGACACAACCGCACAGGACAUACUAGUGCCGCGUGUGGAGGAUCUCUAACGUGGCAUUAUGUGAGUGGAGUGGGCACAGUGGUAAAUAGAGCAGCACCAUGUAUGCUUGAGUAAGUAACGCUGAAGUUAAUUCAGUGUGUGCGGAUGCUUUCACUUUGCACGGGGACGAAUGGUUGCUACUUGCUUGCUUGCUGGUUUUAGGACUUUUCUUUGAUAUAACGUUAAAAAUUGAGUUUGUUGAGAUUUACGCAAUUCGUGUUUUGAAGUUUGAGGGGUUGGGCGUAAAAGGAAAAAGGAAAAAAAAGACAAGCCAAAGCUGAUGCCACUCCAGGUCAGAUUCUUAACAAAAGUUUAGUUCAUUUUUGGAUGGUAGCAAAAAGCAAAAGCCAUGACUGGGCCUAAAUUGCCGAUGCUUAUUCAUUCGCGAUCGCAUUCAUAUUAGUACCACAAACAAGAAAAGCAAAAAGAAUAUUCUGAUAGGUGGAGAAUUGGUUUCGUUCAGACUCUUUUGUCUUUUGAUUGCUAUUGAAGUGAAUUAUAACUAUAAAAAUAAAAAUUAAUAAUGUAUAAUGAGUAUGAUUUUUAAAUUAUAAUUUUAAUAAAAAUAAUAAAUAUAUUAUAAGUUUUCUAUUAUACAAAUGAUAGACCAAAUUAAUUUAAUUAAUAAAUAACAACAGUUAUUGUUUAUCAAAAUAUUUUAAUAUAGUAAUUUUUACGUUAAAUUUGCACAACCUCAAUGCUAAAGAAUAUCCUAGUAUUUUUCUGAUAAAUGAGAAACAUUUACUACGGUAGUAGUACCUAUCCGUUUUCAAUUAUGUGGUUUAAGAAAAUAAGUUGCACACUUAUUGAUGCCUAUAACUAGAAGAAUGGUUUUUAGGGGUAGGCAAAAAAACCAUAGUCUUAAAAAAAUCGAACCGAACCGACGGUUUUUUCUAAUUCGGUUCGGUUUUUAUUUUUAAAAAAACCAAAAUAUACUGUUUGUAAAAAAAAUCGAAAUGUCGGUUCAGUAUUCGGUUCACUUAACUGAAUCAAAAAACCGAAUUAUUUUUUUAUUUUAUUCAAAUCAAACAUGUGUUAUUUCUUUUUAUAACAUUAUGAUUAUGUUUAUAUAGAUGGAGUAUUGGAGUUUGGUUAUAUAUUUUAAAAUUUUAAUAUUUCAUAUUUUGGGAGUAUCUUAUUAAUAGUUAGUAAGAUAUUAGUGAUAAAAUGUGUUUUAAAUACUUUAUAUUUAUUGUUAGUAUUUGUAAUAAAAUUAGGAUAAAUUAAUUGUUGAAAAAAAUUAUUACAUUCAUGAGGCCCAAUGGGCUAAAAAUUUAAAAAUUCAAAAUAGGCUCAAUAGGUUCAGAACCGAAAAAACCGAACUGAAAAAAACCGAACUGAAACGAACCGAUCCGAAAAGAACUGUUUGAGUUCGGUUCUUAUUUGGUUCUUUUUAUAAAAUAACCGAUUUAAAUCGGUUCUACUUAAUUUCAAACCGAACCGUGCCCACCCCUAAUGGUUUCUCCAAGUGUGCAACUUAUUUUGGGCCAAUAUGAAUUUUUAUAAGUUGCACACUUAUUUUGGGCCAAUAUAGAAAAUGAGUUUCAAAUUAAGAUUGUGGAGGUGGGAGUUCAAUCCGCUUACAUGUCCAAUUGGCAGUGGUGGGUAGGACAGGUGUUGAUGUGGUAUGGGCUCAUGUUGUAUUAAAAUUAAAAUUAAAUGGACUUGAUUAUCUCGCAAAAGGUUGCUUUCGUCAUGCGAUGUGUGAGUUCGGGUUGGGCUGACUAGAGUUUAUGAAGUGGAUCUUGAGCAAGAGAAGGCUUUUCACCGAUCAGAGAGUGACGUAAGGCUUUACGGUGUUACCAGUGUAACGGACUUGGGUCCACACAAAUAUACUUACAACAAGCCCAUACGAGAUCUUGGGCCCACCGUUGAUCAGUAACAAAAAUGUGUUUGUUACUUUUUCCGAAUGAAUUCACACAUUGCGUCAAUAAUACAAAAGAAAUGUUUUUUACAUUUAGAUCAGAAGAAAACUGACUUUUACCGAGCAAAUCGGGCUUGACAAGCAGUAAUCUGUUAGGUUAUGCUGCUGGCUGGCAUCUUUUUAUUUAAUUGUCAUCCUACAAUUAUUAAUUAGGGAAAUUAUCCACCGUACAUCCGUUUUUUUUAAUUUUUUAAAAAAUACAUAAUUUUUUUUUUACUAAAAUCCACUUGAAGUUACAUUUUUUUUUUUCAUUUCCGUUUGAAAUCCGUUAAGGAAAUUAACGGAAUAUUGCUUAAAUGACUUUUUUACCCUCAAAUGUAAAAGAUAAUUUAUUCAUCGACCACUUGUUUUUUGUGUAUUUUUUCAGAAAUACACAAUUCUUAAUUUAUUUUUACUGAUCUCUACUCGAAGUUGUAUUGUUUUACACCUAUCCACCACUGUGUCGUUGUAAAAUGACGAUUUUACUCUUAUGAUGUUAGUAAAGUUAUAACGGUCUCCAAACAGAAGUGGAAAAGUGAAAAAAAAUGUAAUUUCAAGUGGAUUCCAGCAAAAAAAAAAAAGAAUUGUAUAUUUUUAAAAAAUAGUGAAAAAACGGGUGGACGGUGGAUAAUUUCCGUAUUAAUUAUUAGUUACCAAAUAGUCAAAUACCUAAUUGACGUUUAUAUAUAUUGUUUUCCAGAUAAAUCUCCGACUUCAAUUCAAUGGUCCUUCUCAAUGACGUCUCGCUGAGUACAUCUCGAUACAACUCAAUUAUAAUCGGUGUAAUUUUCCCCCUUUUUUUUCCCCUAAUAUUGCCAUAGACGAGGACUUAUUUUGUUAUUCAACUUCAACCAGUCUCUUAGUCGCUGCCACAAGCCCACAAGUGUCUAUGUUAUGAGACCAUUCUAAAGGAGGAAAAAGCCAAAGUCAAAGAGCCAUCAUUUUUUAACCAACAAAUUUUGAAAUGUAUUGUUGCAAAUCUACCGUUGACAAGGAUAGAAAAUUCAAACACUCCAUACGAUAAAUUAACUGACAAUAUUAUUUUCCGUAACUCCACGAUCAAUAAUUAAGAAUUUAUAUCUCCCUCAACAUAUAAAAGUCGAUAACUUGAGACAUAAUCUCCAUCUAAAUAAAUAAUAAUUAUAGUUACUCUAUAAUAAAAUAAUUAAAUAUAAGCGUAAGCGUUUACGUAAUAAAACAACAUCAAUUUUGUUAGCCAAUCAUGUGAUAAAAGAAAAACGAAAAUAAAAGGAAACAACAGCUGACCAAGCAAAGUAUCAUUGUAUUAUUUGUAUACAAUUUCUUUCUCCUUCACACUGAUUUGUCUCUAGAAGUUAAUUAUUAUUUGUUUUUGGUCGUCAAAAUAUAAAAACAAUAUAGAAGGCAACGUGGCGGAGUAUAAGUGGAGGAGGGAGGGACCGAGGAGUCCGAGCCAGUUCCGUGUCCUACAGUCCUAGUCCUCCUCGAUGAGCCGCCAACCGAAUCGAGUCAAAUAAAUCUCGCGUUUACCACGCGUUGCUUUGAAGUUUAGAUUCCACACUCCCAAUAUAUUUGCCACGCCUUUGCACUUUCUUGAAAUUUCCAGGAAACUGCAAGUGCAAUUUGAUUGCUUACAAAUCUUCUCGUAUAAAUAAAAUAUCACAACGCCUCUCGCCGAUCGAAAAGCACUCAUCAAAGACAGAGUUGUUACAGGGUAUCACUCGGCGAGGGAAAAUAUGAUGAACUCGAUGAGAUUAUACGCUCUCCCAGUAAUUGGAUUCAUGUUCAUGGCGAUACUGCAACUGGGUAAUGCUCAAAACAUGGCUCCUUCACCGGCUCCGGCUCCGUCUAGCGAUGGUUAGUACUCGUAUAGUCAGUCACAUACACAAAUCAAUCAACCAUAUUAAUCUUUUUUUUUUUGGGUUAAAAGUGAAAAAUAAAAUUUAAUUGAAGUGGAUUGGGUUUGAUCUGCAGGAACAGCGAUCGAUCAGGGGAUUGCAUACAUCCUUAUGGUGCUGGCGCUGGCAAUUACAUACCUGGUGCAUUGAUUUUGAUUCUUUUUCAACUGAUUCUUUUAUGUAUGUAGUUUUUCUCCACAAUCAUUUCACUUGGAGAGAAAGUCACUGCAUUAUUUGUUAUUCUUUGCCCUGUAGCCUUGCCCUAUAUAUGUAAUUAACUGGUUACUGCAAUCUUUCAUUGAAUCCAAAUACUUCUUUUUUUUUCCUCUUACUUGGUGUAUGCGAUUUUGUUCAUGUUUCCGGGUCCGAUCCUGUAUUUUCUGCACGAUUAUGGGUGUUUUCGCAUUUCAAGAUACUAUAUAAAUAAAUAUACGAAACAAAAGCAAAAAAAUUCGAGAUAAUCUUCUUUAUGGCCAAUUGGCCAUUUCAUGAUAUGCAGCAAAAAAAUUCGUAAGUUGAUACGCAGCCACUUGAUGAUAUGAAAAAUAAGAAAAUAACGACCUACUAGUUGGGUUGUGUAGGGUUGGCCGAAUGCCAAUUCCCAAGGCGGAUCGAAUACCUAACCGGUUUGCUGAAGAUAUGGUAUUUGCAGAUAUCUAAAUAUUAGUUAAGUUUUCGUUCCUGUUGUGAAAUUAAUGGCCUCUACCAGUUUAGUAGUUCUAGCUCUAUUAUAGGAGCAAAAGCCAAUUAAUUGAAUUUUUAAUGCUUUAGUGCUAGUAUUAUUAUGAUUAAUGGGACAAAUUUUUAGAGCUAUAAAUAUAGCUUAUAUUGUAGUAAAAAGAAAUGAAAAUGAGAAUGGAUUGGAGAGCAUUCCAUUGGGAAAAUUAAGAUAGUUAUUGAGAAUCUGUACAUUGAAAAAUCAAAGCUUAUGGUAAAUAAUAAUCAAGGAAGCUUCGCUAAAUUCCUUACGAAUUUCAUUUAUAACAAUUCAGGCACAUUGAGUUUUUUUAUUUUUUGAGUUUUGGGUUAGUGGAAUAUUAUACAAUUGUCAUAUUACACAGCAAUGUAAUAAUAUUUUGAGUACAUAAGGAAGUUUUAAGGAAAAUUAUUUUAUUAGUACUUUUAAUUAUAAUUAUUUUUAUAUAUGAUUCAAGAAUUUUAUAUUUUGAUUAAUCAUAAUUUCAAGAGUUUUAUUUUUUUAGAAGUUUAUUUUUUAUUGAAAAUAAGUGUCCUUAAUCAAAAUUUCGGGCGAAAAAUUACUGAAAAUCUUGUGAAAUAGGGUGAGAGCCAAAGUUUUGAUGCAUAAACAAUUAUUUGUUUGUUGCUAUCACAUUGUCUUAUGGAGUUUUUGAAACUUAUAUUAUCUUAUACUUAUUUUGAUUUUAUAAAAUAAAUUUUGAAGGAGAUCUCUUUUGGCAAUGUUAACCGGAUUUUGGUGGAUCCGAUUACAACAAAUAAGAUAGCAUUUUAAAUAAGAAAGGUUGCCAAUCUUGAAAUGUGCUUUUCACAAGACCAAGGAGGAUAGCUAGUUGAGUAUUUGAUGAGGGGCAGUAGGCUCAACCUCUAAGCAAUUUAGGCGGUUGCUUAAGGUCCCGUUUUACAUGAAAGCCCCAUGAGAUAAUUAUUUUAUAUAUAAAAAGAGAAAGUGAAUUUAAAAAUCAUUAUUAUGCAUUUAAUUUAUUAUAUUUUGUAUUUAUCUUUUCCUAAAUAAACUAUCAAAUUCCUAUAAAGUUUAUUUAAUAUAGUACUUAGUAGUUUUAAUUCCUACAAAAUUGAUAAAUUAAUAGUUUCAAUCCUACAAAUUCUCUAUUUCAUUGUUAUAAUUAAUAUGUUAUAAUUUAAAAGUUUUAUAUUCAUUUUAAACUUCUAUAAAAGCCUCACAUUUUAUUAUUUAUCUAUUAAGUUUUUCCUCCAACAAUCAAGACACGAUAUGUUCUUGGUCUUUGAGAGAAAGAAAGAGAGAAAAGGAAAAAAAAUCCUACUUCCUCUACUUUUCCACUUAAAAAGAAAAAGAAAAAAUCUAAUAAUUUUCUCUAUUCUCUAUGGUUAUUGGUAUUUAUUCAAAUGCUCAAACAAUUAAUAUAAAGAUAAAGUUAAUUUAUGAUUUCAUCUCAAAUUACAGAUUUUAUCUUUUUAUUAUUCUCUUAAUUAGUUGUGUUCUUUAUUUGUUCUUAUUUCUUUUUAAUAUAUUCUUUUAUUCAUCUACUUUUUUGUGUGUGCUUAUUUGAUCUAUUUUGAAAUAAAACUAUAUUGAAAAAACUUUAGAAAAUAGAAGAAUAGAAAAAUUAGUUUAAUCUAGAAAAGGAGUAGUAAAAAAAUAUUUAAUUUGAGUUAAAAAAAACAAUAAGUGAAAUUGUUAUAAUUGAAUCAAAAUUUCAUGGAUUAGCAAUAGUAUAAUAUAAUUUUAUUUAAUAAUUUUACAUUUUAGAUUGUUUAAAGAAUUGAUUUUCAAUAAAUAAUAUAUAACUAAUAUAUAUAUUGUCUUAAAUUUUAAGAAGAACUAAUUAAAACCAUUUGUCUAAGACCCCAAAUAUGGUUGAGUUAGCUCUGAUGAGGGAAUGAAGAUGUAAUAAAAACAAGGAAUAAACCACCAAGUUGGGUUUGUGAGAACCUGCAAAAUGGAAGUAAAUCGUGGUUAGAGGUAGAGUCAACAGUGAUUGACAACCAUACUCAAACACUCAAAUUAGAUUUUGAAUAAUAAGAGGCGGUCUUGAGAUAAAAAAUGGAACUUAAAGCUAUUAACAGCGGCAAAUAUGCGGUGAGGAAGAAUAUAAAUGUGUAAUUUCAAUUUUCACCCGACGCGAAUUUGUUUUUUUACCUUUUUUUUCUGUUUAGGAUUUUUUGAUUUGGUUGCAUUUGUGGGUCAAGUGUUAAUGGGUCCAACAAUAUAAGAUUUACACAUUUUUUGUUUUAUUUCACACUUAAUCUGCUGUACGGCCAGGCGGAUGUACGGCACAGCAGGUUGUGUUCUUUAUUUGUUCUUAUUUCUUUUUAAUAUAUUCUUUUAUUCAUCUACUUUUUUGUGUGUGCUUAUUUGAUCUAUUUUGAAAUAAAACUAUAUUGAAAAAACUUUAGAAAAUAGAAGAAUAGAAAAAUUAGUUUAAUCUAGAAAAGGAGUAGUAAAAAAAUAUUUAAUUUGAGUUAAAAAAAACAAUAAGUGAAAUUGUUAUAAUUGAAUCAAAAUUUCAUGGAUUAGCAAUAGUAUAAUAUAAUUUUAUUUAAUAAUUUUACAUUUUAGAUUGUUUAAAGAAUUGAUUUUCAAUAAAUAAUAUAUAACUAAUAUAUAUAUUGUCUUAAAUUUUAAGAAGAACUAAUUAAAACCAUUUGUCUAAGACCCCAAAUAUGGUUGAGUUAGCUCUGAUGAGGGAAUGAAGAUGUAAUAAAAACAAGGAAUAAACCACCAAGUUGGGUUUGUGAGAACCUGCAAAAUGGAAGUAAAUCGUGGUUAGAGGUAGAGUCAACAGUGAUUGACAACCAUACUCAAACACUCAAAUUAGAUUUUGAAUAAUAAGAGGCGGUCUUGAGAUAAAAAAUGGAACUUAAAGCUAUUAACAGCGGCAAAUAUGCGGUGAGGAAGAAUAUAAAUGUGUAAUUUCAAUUUUCACCCGACGCGAAUUUGUUUUUUUACCUUUUUUUUCUGUUUAGGAUUUUUUGAUUUGGUUGCAUUUGUGGGUCAAGUGUUAAUGGGUCCAACAAUAUAAGCUCUGUUAACAGUGAGCUCAACGCAUUCAAUCAAAGUUCUUUGUGGGCUGAUCAAGUCAAUUAAGUCACUAUUUGUGGAUGAAAUUGAGUCAAAUUGUGAAAUACCAAAGAUUAUUAGCCUGUUAGAUGUGAAAGAUUUACAAACGAAAUUGCUUGCAAUGGACUGCGUACUUGAAAUUGGCUAUUUUGGUAAAAUAUGUGUAAUAUAGUUACAGUUCGUAUGAAAAUCACAUGAUAAUCUUUUUUUCAUUCUCCAAUUAUCAUUUGGAAGCAAUUUCAGCCGCUGUUUCAGUUUAGUUUCUGCAUCAUACGGGCUGCCUCGAACUAAAUUACUAAAGUUCGUAUGAAAAUCACGGAUCUGUUUUACUUUCUUUUCUUUCAAAAUGACUUCAGAAGUAACUCUGGGCACAAGCUCAAUGCACCUGUAUAUAUUUCUUUUCCCUUUUCGUGUCAAAUUUAAAACUUUCUUCGCAUUUAGUUAGAUUGUCACGUAAUCUAGCUUUAGUCUUCUAGUCUUCUAGAUCAGAAUAAAUUGUAUGAUUUGGUGUUUUGGUAUCCUGAAUAUUUCAUCAUUUGUUUAAUAUUUUCAUCAUUUGCUGUUUAAUUUGUUUAUUUUCGAAUUAUUAACCCGUCCAAAUUAGUAAUCCGUACCAAAUUAUUAACCCAAACCAUAUUGCAACCCGAAAUCAACAAUCUGAACUCGAACUGAAUUAAAAACCUAAGUCAAAUCAAACGAAAUGUGGAAUCGAACCAAACCAAAAUAAUUUUCUAACUGUUUGGGUUGAAUUUUUAAACCUGAAUGGGUCACCAACCGAACCGAAAUUGAAACAUCCCCCCUCCUAUGAUUUCCAUUUACACGGAUAGUAGUGGUGAAUUUCAAGCUCUAAAAUCCUUCCUUAACAUGGUAUCUCUCACUUCCUCAAUCCACCACACACACCCGAACACAAUGGCUCUACUGAGCAUCGUCAUCGAGAUCUUGAAACAAGAAUCACUUUUUUAGAUCAAGUCUUAAAUCUUUCUCACAGCUAUCUAUCUUAUUAAUAGUACGCCCACUUCGCUGCUCCAAUUAAUUUCAAAGUUAGAAAAAUUAUUUGAUCAUUCACCUAAUUACACAAAAUUACGUGUGUUUGGGUGCUUUUUUUUUUUUUUGGUCUAUGGCUCAAACUUUACACUAAUUAUAAAUUCGAACCAAAAUCUAAGCCUAAUGUUUUCUUAGGUUACUCUUCCACACAAAGUGCCUUUAAAUGCCUUGACCCUACAAUCAAAAGACUUUAUAUUUUUGGACAUGUACUAUUUGUUGAGAAUGUAUUUCGUUAAAAGUUCUAUUGACCAAAACUUGCCCAGAAUAUGUCUAGAUAAUUUUUACAUAUGGGAUUAUGGGUCCCUUCACUUAAUUCACUAUCACAUAUUUCUAUUCCCACUCAAAGUCAAACUCUCCAUACCGAAAAUCACUCCUUAAAUAAGCCAAAUAUUCCUCCUUCCAUUUACAUUUUAUACUCCUGCACAUCACCAACCACACUUAAAUUCCUCUUAACUUCACAGAAAAUCACUCCUCCCCAACUCAACCAAAUACAUCUCCACCAAACACAACCCAAAAUCACGUGUCUCUCACUACAAGUGUUUCCGAAGAAUCCUGCCCUUCUGUUAUGUUGCAUGAGCUAGCCAUUUGCACAUCUUUGACCCCACAAGAUGCCUUUGACAGUGAGACUUCCUCAUCUCAAAAGAAAACCUCCACAUCCCUAUCUCCUUUUAAUACCUCAAGCCGCCUUCAACAACACCAAUAAAACCCCUCGUACCAUCACCCGUGCCCAAAAUAACAUCUUUAGAUCAAAUCCCCGAUUUUUUGUCUCCAGCUGACAUUUACCUCCAGCCACUAUUAAGCCUACAUCUGUCUCACAAGCAUUAAAAUAACCAUAAUGGAGAACAGUCGUGUCUGAGGAGUUUGAUGCUCUUAUUCGUAAUGGUACGUGGGAGCUCACUCCAUCUUUUCUCUUCCAUCUCAAAAUAUUGUGGGCUGUAAAUGGGUGUUUCGAAUUAAACGAAAUGCUGAUGGUUCUAUAAAUUGGUAAAAGGCUCGGCUUGUGGCUUAAGGAUUCCAUCAGAGGCCCUGGCUUGACUACACUGAAAUAUUUAGCUCUGUAAUCAAGCCUACUACCGUUUGCCUUAUACUAUGUUUGGCAUUAUCACAAGGAUGAUCUUUGCGACAACUUAAUGAGGUAUUUAUGUCUCAACCACCUGUUUUUAUUGAUCCCACAUAUCCUACUUAUGUUUGCAACUUAGAAAAGCACUCUACGCUAGCCCCACAUGCCGGGUACACUAAGCUUCGGAACUUUCUUCUAUCGAUGGGAUUUUUCAAUUCAUUAUCAGACCCUUCUUUAUUUACCUACUCUCAUGCGGGUGUUGCUUAUUUAUUGGUAUAUGGUGAUAAUUUAGUCCUCAUUGGCAAUAACAAUUCUAAUGAUGGAAUUCAUCUUGCAUAUGUGUUGGUUUUUUAUAUUGAAGAAGAUGCAGUUGGACUUGUGGUUUGAUUGAUUAGAUUUUGUUGAACUACUAAAAAAUCUGCAACGUUUUACAUACGAGUAAUUUUAGAGUAUAAGCUUCACUGGUUGAUAUAGCCAUCCAAUGUUUGUUAUCGUGAGGGUUUGCCUAAUCCAGAUUAAAUCAAGCUAUCAAUUUUCUUGAUGUUGUAAAACUCCCAUUGUACUCACUGCUAACAUCAUGUGAUCGAAUACACGUAUUCGUUUGAAAUUUUGCUUGAAGAUUCUUAUGUCUUGACCAUCUGCCAAAAUAAGUGAGUUUUCUUUAUUCGAUUUACGAGUGCGUGUCGUGUUUUUUUUUUCAUAUCCAUGGAACAAGUUUAUGAUUUAGUAAUUACUAUUGGGUUUUUUCCUUGUUUCUUCUUCCAUCAUGUUUUUAAUCUUUUUUUACUAAGUGAAAUUGUAGGUUAUUGAUUUUUCUUUCGGUGAGGAGAUUAAGGUUAGAGCGGUUCAUCUUUGCAUGGGAAAAGAAUGCAAGAUUUGGAAGGUGGAAUUCAUCGAUAAAAGAGGCUCAAUAAAAGCCAGGAGAAUCCUCUAUCUUUUGCUCCAAUCGCCCAGCAUCAUGCUAGAAGAGGUAAUAGCUCUAGAGCCUACUGUUAGGAUGUCCUAACAAGAAAUCCAGUUAAAGACAGUUUUUGUUUGUCCAAAUUCAGGUGCAAGUGGUAGACGCAGAGGUAGAGGUUGUAAAAUGGUGAAUCAAGAGAAUGCCAAGACUUCUGUUGCUGGGCUUCGCGUCAGGGUUGGCACAGGUUUGGACUUGCCAGUGAAAUAGGUAGGUGAGAAAAGGGCUGAAAAAUUAUUGGCUGUUGAGGAGGAAGGAAGUGCAAGUCCACUUCCUAGGAAGGUACUACUUUUUCAUCGUGAACACUUGUAGUAAAAUUAGUAGAUAUAAAAACAGACAACUUUUAUUACAUUUUCUAAUGUGAAAAUCACAUUGCUCUUGACCUGAAUUGAUAUUUUUCUUUUUUAUCGUCCAUUGACUUUAUAGUUGCUUCUUUCUUAAACCUUGUUAACUUUCAUGGAAACUUAAAAAAAAAAAAUCAUGGAAAGCUGUUGGCUAUAGUUAGAUUUUAAAUAAAUUCUUCUCAACCAUGACAAGCAGUCAAAUGAAUUUGUUUUUUGGUUGUUUAUGGAAAAAUAAGCCAAGAAUUUUUAAGAUAAAGUCAAGUUUUAAAAUGAUUAAGCUUUAUACGUUGUUUUUACCCAAAACGUUUCUGCUUGUUAUAAUGCGUUGUUAGCUUUAGCAGCCUAUGUCAUGUCUUUCUAGUUCAUGCAUUAGAGGCAAUACUUGGAAGUAGUUUAUUUUUAAUUUAUUAUGCAUUUCCUCUUCAGAUAUAGCUUGGGAACUCCCCUUUGUAUAAGGUAGAGAAAAAACUGGAAAAAUGGGGUUUUGGACAAGUGUAUGUUGGAAGAAGGAUGACCGGUAGCAUAGGGCGCCAUGGGCCUGAUGCCUUAGAGGUUUAAUUUCUUGUGCAAUUCUGGUAAACCAUGCAGAAUUAUUAGGAAGUGGAUUUUUUUUGUUAUGUUUUGUUAAUGUUAUUCUCCUGUUAUGUUUGUAGGUUGCUAUGAAGUUUGAGUGUCGAAAUAAUAAAGGGUGCAACUUAAGCCCUCCUUACAAGUAGUAAGUAUGGGUGUGUUUGGAAGUGAGGUGAUGUACCUUUUAAGCUGCAACUGCUGUGGAGUAAAAAUUACAGUUGUGGAAUAGAAGUUAGGAAAAAAAUUUGUUAAGCUAUCAAAGCCCAACUACAAGUGUUACCAAACACCUUAGUUCCCAAACGAGCUAUACAUAGGUAGGCGAGUUUGAUUCUUCUGCUGUUUUAACUCAACUUUUAUGUCCUAACCAAUCUUUCUGUCUCAAAAUUAUUGUUCAGCACUCUUAAUGGUUGUUAUGGGCUUCCUUUGGUUCAUUACAAAGGCCAGCAAAGAAACUACUAUAUCCUUAUAGGUUUCACCCUUUGCAUCUUUUAUAUUUCCUGUUUACGUAGAAGGUUAUUUUUACCUUUUGGUUAUAGAUAUUAGUAAUCUUCUAUGAUUACUAUAGAUUUUACAGAGUGAGGGGGAAAAAUUCUCUUUUUCCAUUCAAUAAAAAAUAGAGAAAACAAAUAACUUAAAUAGGGAAAAAACAGAGGAUUAAUUUUAUACUUAGCAACUGACUUAUAUCAUCCCUAAAUCUUAGGAUUUUAUUCAAAUAUUUAACAAAUAGAUCAUAAUCAAUUAUUUCUAAUCUAUCAACACUCUCCCUCAAGUUGGUGCAAAUGUAUCUGUCAUGCCCAACUUGCUAACUUGAACUUCCAAUGGCUGUCUCAGGCUCUCAGCAAGCCUUUAGUUAAAACAUCUGCAACUUGAUGUGUGGUAGGUACAAAUGGAGUAUAAAUUAUUCCUUCUUCAAGCUUUUCUCAACGUGGCUGCCUUGUUAUCACAAUACAACUUCAUAGGCAAACUCACUAGUCUCUUAAGCACUUUUAGAGCCAUUUUUAGCCAAAGAAUCUCACAUACUCCUUGUGCCAUUGAUCUGAAUUUAGCCUUAGCACUACUUCUAACACCAAUAUUCUACUUCUUGCUUCUCUAAGUGACUAAAUUGCCCUAUAGAAAUGUACAGUACCCUAAAGUUGACAUUCUAUCAGUUACUGUACCUGCCCAAUCAGCAUCAGUAUACACCUCAAUUCCCCUCUUCUCAUUUUUCUUGAAAAAGAGUCUUUUUCCUGGUGCACUUUUCAGAUAACGAAGGAUUCAGUAUAGAGCUUCAAGAUGUUCUUCAUAUGGAGAAUGCAUAAAUUGGCUUACCAUGCUUACAAUGAAAGUAAUGUCUGGACGAGUAUAUGACAAGUAAAUUAGUCUCCCAAUUAGUCUUUGAUAUCUCCCAUUGUCUACUGGAACACCAUAUUUUACUUCCUCAAGUUUAGAGUUGGCUUUUAUUGGAGCGUCAGAAGGUUUGCAACCACUCAUCCCAGUUUCUUUCAAGAGAUCAAGAAUAUAAUUCCGUUGUGAGACAACAAUGCCCUUCUUUGAUGUUGCCACUUCUAUUCUACGAAAGUAUUUUAGUUGGCCUAAAUCUUUAAUCUCAAACUCCUUGGCUAGGUUUUGUUUCAAUAUGCUCAUUUAUACUAUAUCAUCUCCAGUUAAAAUUAUAUCAUCUACAUAGACAAUAAGAACAUAAAUUUUAUUUUCAAUAUAUCUCUUUGUGAAAAGAGUAUGAUCAGAUUGUCCUUGAUCAUAUCCUUGGUUUUUGAACGAAAUUUGUGAACCUCUCAAACCAAGCUCUGGGAGAUUGUUUAAGGCCGUAUAAAUACCUUUUUAGUUUACGUACCUUGGUUCCAAAUUACUCAUUAAAACCAGGUAGAGGCUCUAUAUAGACUUCCUAUUCUAAGUCCUCAUUCAACAAAUCAUUAUUCACAUCCAGUUGAUUUAAAGGCCAAUCAAGAUUAGUUGUAAUAAACAAGAGUACUCAAAUUGUAUUUACCUUUGCCACUGGAGAGAAAGUCUCAGAGUAGUCUACUCUAUAUGUCUGAGUGAACCCUUUGGCUACGAAUCUAGCCUUGUACAUUUCCAAGGAUCCAUCUGAAUUGUACUUCACAGUUAACACCCAUUUAUAGCCGACAAUUGUCUUCCCAUAUGGCAGGUCCACUUUCUCCCAAGUAGCAUUCUUCUUUAGGGCUCUCAUCUCCUCAAGCAUAGCUUCUUUCCACUUAGGAACAUUUAGAGCCUCAUGGACACUUUUAGGAAUAACCACAUUGGACAUUUGUGAAAUAAAAGCACAAUAUGAUGAAGAAAUAUUUUUGUAAAAUAUAAAAUUUGACAAAGGAUGUUUUGCACAAGACCUAACACAUUUUCUAAGAGCAAUGGGAAGAUCAAGCUAACUAGAAGAAUUUGACUCAUAAUUAUCUAGAGGAUUAUUUUAAGGGAUUUCUGAAGAAUCGUCAUGAACUUCAUGAUCCAACCUCUAGUCAGAUUCUUAAUGGUGUUGUAUGAUAGUGACUCUUUUUUGUGCUAGAUGCUCCUUUGAAUAUACAAGACCUUUAAACCGUUUUGCAUACAUCUCAGUUGUCUCAUUAGUUUGAUUUUGCGAUGGAAUUACCAAAGGUUGUUCAGUUGUAGAUGCAAUAUUUUUAACAUUUAGUUCAAUUAUUUCCACAGAUUUUGUGUUUCCCAUCCCAUUUUCUUUCGGUGACUGUUUGCAAGAAACAUCAUCAUCUUGAAAAAACUCAAAAGUUAAAUCAGAAUUAUCUAAAAAAUCAUCUUCACUAGUGCUCUCCCCAUAAAAAUGGAAAUUGUUGUAGUAUGAUUGUCCUUAAAAAAAGUGACAUCCAUAGACAAACAUUUUUUUUCAAAAUCGGAUCAAAACAUUUAUAACCUCUUUGAUUUGUAGGAUAGCCUACAAAAAUACAUUUAUGUGCCUUUGGAUAAAGUUUUGAACAUCUAGUAUCAUGAUUAUGAACAAAGGCCACACUUCCAAAAAUUUUAAAGGGAAUGUCGGUUGUUAGCAUUCACUUAAAACUUUAAUUGGUGUUUUAAAGUCCAAAAUUAUCGUAGGCAGUCUAUUAAUCCAAUAAGUGGCUAUUAGCACUACUUCUCCCCAAAGGUAUUUGAGAACCUUAGUCGUAAAACUAAUAGCUUUAACAACUUCAAGGAGAUGUCUGUUUUUUUCUUUCAGCCUCCCCAUUUUGUUGAGGUGUAUUAUUACAAGAAUUUUAGUGAACAAUCUCUUUUUCAGCAAAAAAAUUCCCUAACACUUUGUUAAAAACUCUUUCCAUUAUCAAAUCGAAAAAUUUUAAUCUGAGUAUGAAAUUGUGUCUGAACCAUAUUAUAAAAAUUUAUAAACACAGUUUCAGCAUCAAAUUUUUCUUUUAAAAGAAAGACCCAAGUGACUCUAGUAUGAUCAUCAAUAAAAAGAAUAAACCAGCGCUUUUUAGAAAAAGUUGGCACUCUAGAAGGACCCCAAACAUCACUAUGAAUCAUCGUAAAUGGUUUUGAUUUUUUAUAUGGUUGAGAUUGGAAAAUAGCCCGAUGACGUUUAGCUAAUUCACAAGAUUCACAUCGAAAACUAUAAGAAUUUUUAUUCAUGAAUAACUUGGGUAACAAAUGCUUUAAAUAUUGAAAAUUUGGAUGUCCUAAUCAAUAAUUCCAUAACAUAAUCUUACUAUCAUUAACAAUAGAGAUAGAAAUGAAACAAGUCUGUAGAUCUUUCCUUUCAUAAGUUGAUCCAUUAUUAAAGAAGUAGAGUCCACCACUCAUUUCAACACCCCCAAUCAUCUUCCCCGAGGUUAAAUCCUGAAAUUUACAACAUUAAGAUUGAAAAAUAACUUGAUAGUUGUGAUCAAAAGUUAAUUUACUGAUAGAUAAAAGAUUAUAAGACAAAUGUGGGACGUGCAAAACAUUCAUAAGAAUUAGAAAAGGAGAAAUAAUAAUUGUUCCUUUUCCAGCAACAGUAGCUAAGAACCAUUUGUAAUUUUAACCUUUUGAUUUCUUCCACAAGGUAUAUAAGAGGAAAAGAGUAGAGAAUUACCAAUCAUAUGAUCAGUAUCACCUGAAUCUAAUAUCUAGGAGCCAUGAGACUUGGUAUAAGCUAGGGCUACAAAGAAAGAAUUACCUGACUGUGCUAAAGAACAAGAUGGGUUAGAUUUUUCUAACGAUUAGGACUGAAACAUUUUAUAUAAAUGCUCUAUUUGUUCCUUGGUAAAAGGAAGAGACUCUGAGCAUGAUUGUUGCCCUGGAUCUGUGCUGCUAGCUUGAAAUGCGCAUACAUCUCCCCCUGACUUAGUGUCAUUGCCUGAUUUUUUCUUUGGUUUCCCGUGCAAUUCCAGCAACUUUCUUGAGUAUGCCACGGCUUUCGACAAUGGUCACACCAGGGCUUCUGCUUUCCCCCUGGGUCUAUACCUCGGGCCAUAAGAGUUGAUCCUUUACCAUCUAUUUUUUGUUCAUCAUUAUUCUUCAACAUCACUUGCCGUCGUACUUUUUCUCUACGCACUUCUGAGAAAACUUCUCUUAUAGUUUGCAAAGGUUUUUUUUUCCAUAGUAUACGUCCUCGAACCUCAUUAAGUUCUUUGUUCAAACCAACCAAGAAAACAAAUACCCGAUCUCUUUCAAUUUUCUUUUUGUACCGAGCACUAUCAUUAGAAUUUUUCCAUUGUUUAUUUUCAAACAAGUCCAAUUCCUACCAAACAGCCAUCAUAUCAUUAUGAUUAGUUGUUACCUCACGAUUACUUUGCUGCAUCUUCCAUAUACAGGUGUUUAAUUCAUACAAUUAUGACUGAUUUUCCAGAUCUGCGUAGGUUUCUCGAACUACUUCUCAGACAUCACAAGUAGUAUUUAAGUACAUGAAGGUUUUUCCGAUAAUAGGAUCCAUUGAGUUGAUCAGCCAGGCAGUAACCAUUGAGUUUUCUAAAUGCCACUGCCUGUAUUUUGGAUCAUUAAUGGCUGGUGGUGUUACCUCGCCAUUCGAGUACCUUAGUUUCCCUUUUCCAUCAAUCACCAAAUGCACGAACUGAGACCAUUCAAAAUAAUUCUUUCUAUUCAAUUUGCGAAUGGUAAUUUGAAGAGAAUUUUCAUAAACAGAAACAGCCGGAAGCGACUAAGAAACUUCCUCCGAUGAAGUCCCACUACUGCUGCCAUCUAAAGAGGUUGAACCAGAGCCAACCAUGGCAGCCUUAAAAUUCAUGAUCAAGCUCGAGGCUCUAAUACCAUGUAGAUUUUACAGAGGGAAAAGGAGGAAAAUUUCUCUUAUUCCAUUCAAUAAAAAAUAGAGAAAACAAACAACUUAAAUAGGGAAAAAAACAAAGGAUUAAUCAUAUACUUAGGAACUAACUUAUCUCAUCCCUAAAUCUUAGGAUUUUAUCCAAAUCUCUAACAAACAGUCAUCCCUAAAUCUUAGGAAACUAACUUAUCUCAUCCCUAAAUCUUAGGAUUUUAUCCAAAUCUCUAACAAACAGAUCCUAAUCAAUUAUUUCUAAUUUAUCAACAAUUACAUUGUACUCAAUUGUUUUGGGGUUUGUAAAUUCAGGUAAUGGACAUACUAGGCCCAAGUUUAUGGGAUGUUUGGAACUCUAACAACCAGAUGUAUAAAACAAUUAUAUUCUCUCUCUAUUUUGUCAUUGUUUUAUUUAUUUCUGUUAAUUAAAAAAUUACCAUGAUUAGUUCCUCAAAAAUUACAUUUUGCCUUUCAGUAUUGUUGUCUUUCUGUUUUGAAUUUUGUUGAUUAUUUAUCAUUAUUUUUCUUCCUCUCAGAGGCUACCUGAAGAGAUGGUGGCUUGUAUAGUAGUGGAGGAAAUAUCUAUUUCGAAACAAUUUCACCUUAGAGGGUACUUUGAAAUUGCUAGGAUCUUCGAUGUUUUCCUUUUUAUUUCCUUUAUUCUUUAAUGUAUUUUUUUCCAGGACUUCUUGGUUUCUAUCGUAGUUUUGUACAUGGAGAUGUUAAGUCAUAAAACUUUUUGCUUGGCCAGCCCGAAACAACUGAUUAGAAGAAAUUUUUUUGGUUUGAUAUUGGUAGAGGUAUGACUUCAUAUGGAGAUACUUCAACAGUUUCAUGUCAUUGAUAAUAAUGAAAUGAGCUAUAAAUAGUCUACCAUUGUCUACUUCAGCUUUAAGAUGGAGAGAUGCAAGUUCUUGGUGUCAUAUCGAUUAUGACCAAAAGCCUGAUGUUUUCAGGUAAUCAUAUUUUCCAUCACCCUUGUACGAGUACAAAAUUCUGCUGCUUUUGAUACACCAUAUGCACAAGUCAUGAAAAUGUUUGAGCUUCGUUGAUUCUACAUAUCUUGUAUAUUUCAUUUUAUACUUUUAUUGAAUGUGAUAAUUUGUCUUUUCAUUAUGGCAUAUCACAUUGCCAUAAUUGUAUUUCAUGCUUUUAUCUUCCGUCAAAUGAAUGCACAAAAAAUACUUUUAUCUUUUGACAGUCAGAUAUAUCUUAUACUUUUGGCAGGGGAACUGUACAUUAUGCAAGUAUACAUGCUCAUUUAGGUAGGACAGGAAGCUGAAGAGAUGACCUUGAAUCAUUGGCAUAUACCUUAAUAUUUCUUGGCAGAGGAAAACUUCCCUGGCAAGGAUUUGUUGUGGGUUUAUCCUACCACAUAUUGUUGAGCAAUUUUGUAGCUUUGAUUGUUUAGAGUUCAUUUGUUGAUAACUUGACGGCUUAAAUGACAAUCAGUGUCGGCCAAUUACUUAAUUAAUUAUUGGAGUAUCCAGAUGGUUUAAAUGACACUGCCCCGCUCGAUGCCAUAGCCAAUUAAAAAGUUGAUUUGCAUUUUUCUACCAUAAAUUAUAUUGGGAUCACCACUUUUAAAAGCAGAAACAUAAAAGCUCAUCUGAAAUAUUCUUAUAAAGAUUGGAGGGGCUCAACUUCACAUUUGCAACUCUGAAAUGAAUUGUAACUUUAUGAAAUUCAAGAUGUGAACUAAUAUUGUAACAAAUAACUAAGAAAGCUUGGUUCAGCUUCUAGCCUGGUUCAGCUUCUACCGCUUCGACAAGUUGUGUUGUAAUCAUAUUGGACAUUAUUGACUUUAAUUUGAGUGAUACUCUAAUGGUAAUAAAGCCCGCAGAAAACCCGUAUCAACAAAAAUGUUUCUAGUAUCAAUAAAAGAUUUUCCACUAACAGUUGAUAAGGAUACAAAUUCUAAUCUUUGAUCACUUCACUUGUACUAAUUGUUUUCUCACCCUUGAUGCAAUCAGUGUGGGUGACCAAAUAUUAGAAUUUGUGCCCUCAUAAAUUGUUAGUGGAAAAUCUUUUAUUGAUACCGAGAACAUUUUUGUUGAUAUGGGUGUUCUGCAGACUUUAUUGCCAUUAGAGUAUCACUCAAAAUUAAAGUCGGUAAUGUCUAAUAUGAUUAGGGCACAACCUGUCGAAGGCGUGGAAACUAAGCCUGGCUUUUCUGAUGUUCUUUGUUACAAUAUUAGUUCACAACCUGAAUUUUGUGAGGUUACAAUUCAUUUCAAAUGUGUAGAUGUGACAUUCAGCCCCUCCAAUCUUUAUAGGAAUAUUUCAGAUGAGGUCAUGUGUUUUGCUUUUAGAAGUGGCGAUCUCAAUAUAGUUUAUGGUAGAAUAAUACAAAUCAACUUCUUAAUAGGCUAUAACAUCGAGCAGGGAAUGGUGUUGUUUAACUACAGUGAUGCAAAUUAUACCUAAUUUUAUUUGAACUACUAAUAUUGUACUUGCACUUGAACUCCAUUGAAUGAAAAUGCAACUUUUAAUUUAUCAUAAAACAUAUUUCGUUCAUAAUUUUAUUUUUCGUUUGUAACUAUGAAAAAUAUUUUAUUCACAAAUGAAACAUAUCUCCUUUAACUAACUUAUGAUUUCAUAAAUGAAAUAUUAAUGUUGUAGAACUUUAGAUUUAUCAUUUAUAAAAUCAUGAUUUUAAUAAUUUUAUUUAUUAAAAAUUUAGAAUCAUGGUAUUAAUAAAACAAUCAAUUUUUUUAAACUGACUUAAAUUAAUUUUUUAAAACCUAAGCUAAUAAAAUAUACUAAAAAGUUUAAUUUCAAGUUAUUUAUAAAAUCAUAAUAUUUUAUAUUUACUUUUCAUUAAAAAUUUUAAUUUUAUAUAUUUUGGACCACUUGCUAUUGAGGGCCUACGAGCUGGGUGCUAGUCCACCGAUGAAGCGAGCCUUUACACUGUACCGUGUUUUACCCUAUUUCUAAUCGUUUCAUACUUUUAAGGUCUGCAUACCUAAAAUUCUAAGCCCGACCUAGCCGGCAUAUGUGUCUUGUUGUGCCACGUGCUCCACAGUGCUAUGCCUAUGUCGUUUCGUGCCCAUGUCGUGCUGUGCCCGUUUCUAGUUGAAGCAAUCAGUGUGGGCUGCAGUAUAUUGUGCUUGAACCUUGAUUGACCAAACAAUAGAAGAAUUUACCAGCAACCGAUGUUCCCAUUUAAGAAGCUAGUGAAGAAUUGUUAGGUCCAAGGCCAACGGUGCCGAUUUGAUUCAAAGCGGGCUUUCACCAUUGUUUUGUCUGUAACGAAAGAUUACUUUUGCCAUUUCUAUGGGUUGUCUGGAAAUAAGAGGUUUAGUAGCAAGAUUGCCACUUGAGAAGGAUCCAUGUGAACCUCUUCCAUAUUCGAAUGAGUAAAUCCAAUCUCUUUUAAAGCAAUUCAUUGCAAUUAUGGUAUUUUGGAAUGAGGAGCAAGAAAUAGAAUUGUAUGUAGAAGAUUUUUUAGGAUCAAAGAAUGGAACCUCUUGCUAGAAACAUUAUGAUUGUGGGCAAGACUCACACUGUGUCCAUAUGAAGUCACUUCCUGUGUCAAUAGAACCAUAUAUAUCAUCAGCAGGAGUGCCGAUUGAUAAAUGCAUCAAAUAAUUACCAUCAAUAAAAAUUAUAUCAGCUUGAGGAAUUGUUGAUGGAGAGAUUGGUGGCUUGAGAGUUUCAUUGGUGGUACUAAAGUGAGGCUUUAAGGAGUUUUCGGCCUCUAUCGGAUUGAUAAUAAAGAGAAAAAGAAAUCACAAUUGAAAACUUUUUCAAUGCCAUGAUAUCAAGAAUUUUUCAAAUAUUUGGAAUAUGAGCAAAUAUAGUUUAGUAUUUAUAGGCAUUUGUGGGUUGCAGCCCCAGCUUAACUCCAUUCACACCAUAAUUUCCAAAUAUUGUUUAGAUUUUGUAUGCUUGAUCUUUAUUUUGAUUUUUUUUUUCCUUUUUAAGGAAGAAGGGGAUAAAGUGUUUUUUAUUGGAAGGAUGAAAAUGAAAAGAGAAAGGAUAGCAACUCAUGGCAUGCCUUAUUGGCAAGAUUCUUCUUAAUAGAGAUGUGAACAUACAACACUUAAGACUUGUAUUGUGGCGAGUAUUGAAAACAAUUAAGACUUGCAAUCCAGAGCCUAAAACCAUACUGUAUCAUAUUAUGAUUUGCCAGUAAUUUUGGGUAUGCAAUAAACUAAAGCUUGUGACCUAACGUAUAGGUGAAUAAUUAAUAACUAGCCCUAGACUUUCCAAAUAAAAGGACGGAACAAAUGAGAUUCAUUUUAUAAAAAAGACUGACAAAGACAUUUUAACACAAACAAGCAUUUGAAAUUGAUAGGGAAAACAAAAAUUAAUAUUGUAACAUCCGCUUCAAAAAUUGGGGCGAUAGCGGCGAGGAAAAAUGACAAAUCAAUGAUGUUUACUGUUUAGGGCUUUUAAAGAAAGAACGAGAUGUAGAUAUAGUAGCGGGCCAAUAGUUGAGCUUUUUAAUUUUAAUGUUAAUUGAUUACUUGGAAACUAAAUUGUUGAGUAGCAAUAACUUUUUCGGUUUCUCUUGGGCCCGACCCAAGCCCAUUAGAGUAAAAGUGCAAGUGUUAGGCUUGGAUUUUUACUUAUUUUUUCAAAAAAUUUUAAAAUUGUUAUAAACUUGAAAUAAGUUAAUAAUAAUCAAGUUGUUAUAAUCAACAAUGAAUUAAAGAAAAUAAAUAUUUUGAAAAUAAAGUAAUAAUAAAGAAAAUAAAGCAAAUAAAAGUUUAGAUAUUUAAUUUUUUUUUAUACUGGAUUAUCUAAUUCACAGACUCUCUUAAUUAAUUAAUCUUUAAAAGAGAAUUUAGUAUUAUAAUUUUAAGUAUUUUAAUUUAUUAUUGACAUAUAAAUUAGGGAUUCAAACCUUUUUUCCAUUAUUUUUCAAAUUUGAAUUUAUAAAUUUUUUAAAUAGAUGGAGAGAAAUUCAUUAACAGAUUUUAUGAGAUUCAAAAAGAGGAAGCAAUGGUGGAGGCAGCGGCCAGCUGUCGUCACUUAUCGAAAGAAGUUCCCUUGGUCUCUUUCUUCCUCCUUUGCUUCAGGUAUUCUUUUUCUUUUUUCUUUUGUUUUUUUUGUUUUUAGUGCUUCACCUGUUUUCUUGUUCAUUUCCAAUUCUACAAUUUUUAUUUCUCCUUUUUUUUUUUUUUGUAAGAUUAAUUUUGGAGUUUUCAGGUUGAUUUGGCUUCAACAAUUCAUAUCGCGGACAAAGUGUGUAAGUUGGUAAUUUUGCCGCCAAAAAUAAGUGUAAAUUAAGAGAUUUUGAGGAGUAACUAGGGGGUGAGUGGCCGUGUGUAAACCAGCUGGCUUAUUAAAUAACUCAGAAGUAGGACAAGGUUAGUUGUGUUGCACAGAAGGUGUGUUCUUUGUGACAGAUAUACAAUUAACAAAGCCGAGAUGCUCCCCUUUUGUAUUUUCUUCAAGAUUUUGUACGGUCAGUUUAAAUCAAAACUGAAACAAGUGUGUUUAAGUUUGAAGUAAACAAAACAAAAGGACGGAAACGUCCCUCAUUCCACAAGAAAUACAAGGGCUAGGACCCUAUUAUAUAAUGGACUUGGGUAAUUUUUAAAAACCUCCCCUGAGAUUUGGGCUUGUUACAAGUAGAUGGCGAGAAUCUGUUUAUUUGUAAAAAACCUCCUACCGUCAGUUAAUUUUAACAUUGACCGUUAGUUGACUGUGCAAAGACAAUAUUGCCCUUAACCAUAGUUUGUAGACUAACAUAACUAAAAAAAAAACUAAAAUUGUUAGCGCGAAAAGCACAAACCCUAUUUUUUGACAAUUUUAUCUUUGUUAAUUCCAAAGAUUUACAAUAUCAUAGGUAACGAUUAUGACUAUUUCAUUUUUAAGUUUUUAAUUUUAUCUUUCUUGUAGGAACUUUAAGGAAAUAUCAAUAAUUUAAAGAGGAUUUUUCAAGUUUUUAAUUUUAUUUUUUUGUAGGAACUUUAAGAAAAUAUCAAUAAUUUAAAGAUGGUAAAAUAGCCAAUAAUAUUGGUUUUUUUUUAUAGCUAUUUCCGUCUACAAACUAUUGUUAAGGGUAAUAUUGUCUUUGCACAGUCAACUAACGAUCAAUGUUAAAAUUAAAUGACGGUAGAGGGUUUUUUACAAAUAAACCAAUUCUCACCAUCUACUUACAACAAGCCCAAAUCUCAGGGGAGGUUUUUAAAAAUUACCCUAAUGGACUUAUCACUUCGUUCCAUUAAGAAAGUGAAUAAAAUUCCUCUUUUAUCUUAAUCUCUUGAAUUUCUGAACACUAAUUAUAUCAUUAUCGAAUCCUUGAAAAAACUUGCGAGUAUUUAUAAUCAGCUUAUCUCUGAAUUAAAUCUAAAUACAUAUAUGUGAGCUCUAGUUAAAUCUUGAAACAUGUAAGUAAGCCACAUCUAAAAAAAGAGGGUUCCAACAUUUAGUGCACGGCUGGGUUCUCAUUCUCAAUGCCAAUGAAUCUCAGGGAAAGGUUAAAUUCCCACAACAAAGGUGGCAUUAAGGUAGGCGUAGGUCCUUUAUUGGCUGGACUCUAUAAAUGUGUAGAGAUGGGUAACCUUUCCACUUAUAUCGUAUGAAUAAUGAAUUGCCAGGUUGGUUUUUUAUCAAUUAACAUUCUCGUCAUGUGCCAAGAUAAUCACUAGCUUAUGACAUACAGCUAAUUUAGAUGGUUCAAAGUAGAAUAAUGGGAAUAAGGUUUAUAAAGUAAACUUUUACUUUUAAAAUUUGUGUGAUGGGUGAGAAAUUAAGUAUAGAGAAAAAAAAUUAUGUAUUUAAAUAAUCCUAUCUUUUGAUAAAAUUUGCGUGAAAUCAAUCUUGCUGUAGUAGCAGGUUAGUCCAGUGGUGCUAGAAGAACAAAAUACCAUUUGAUUUUUAAUAUUAAAUUUAGAAAUAUUGAUAUUUAAUCUCCUUAACUUAUCUCUUUAAUCCAUUUUUUAAAAUUAUUUUAACUUGAAAUAUCUAAAAUACACAUUAAAAUAAUUUAAAUUUCUAAAUUUUACCAUUUCAGCCUCCAAAGUUUCUAAUAUAUAUAUAUAUAUAUAUAUAGCUUUCUCAAAGGUUUGCCACCUAGUGUCUAUAAUGGCAAUAAAGCAUGUGAUAUCUUUUCCAACUAGGAACAAUGGUUGUAUCCCUAUCUGGAUGGCUCCAAGGUGCAAUCCCUUGUGGUGGCAAACCUUUGAGAAAGUCUUGAUUAUUGUCGUCGAAGCAGGACUCAACCAAGGUCAUGUUGUUCUCCAAGUUGAACCAAAUUUCACCCUUGACAUACACAAGCCAUCCCUCACAGAUGCCAUUAAGGUAUUAAUUCAGGUUAAUGGUUUAACCAUGAAACCUGACGAAUCUGCCUUGGCAAUCCACCACACCAUGACCUAUAAAGUCCAAACCCAUCUGUUCUUUAUGAGCAGUUUUGGCAAACCUAUUACCAGGUUUCUUGCUGGUGAUGGCAGAGUCUUCCAACCUAGGACUUAUAGGCAAAAUUAACUCAUUUUUCCACCACAAUGGAUCAAUGAGUAUGAGAAAAACAACAGGCCUCAACAGAUCCAUGAGGUCCCAAAAAUAAGCCGAUUCCAAGAAGGAAGGGUAUCUGUCUCUUUUCCCACUGAGACUAAAGCCCUCUAUCCAUGUGAGAAGUGCCAGCUUGAAGGAAAGCAUCCCUCCUUGUGCACACAUAUGCCAAGGAGAACCACUUCCUACAGAAUCAUGAGUCUAGUCAACAUGAUCACCACUCCAGACCUUGAUAAUGAAUUCAUCUAUAUAUAUAUCUAUAUAUAUAUAUGUUUUGCGGUUUAUAUUAAUCUCAUUUAUUUAAUUUGGUGAGUCAAUACUUUUAAAUAUCGUACGGACAAGGGUUGGGCAUUUGAUUUGGUUUAACAGGCAAAAACCGAACGGUUUCAAUUUCCUUGCACCCAACGGUUUAUGUUCGGUUCUUUUCUAAAACCGAACCGAACGCAUGAACCGUUCGGUUCAGGAACCUUUAAUUUAAAAAAAAAAGGCUAAAUGCACGCAGACCGGCGGAUGCAGCAGCCGCCAGCCCCUCGCUCUCUCACUCUCUCCGUGGCGUCUCCGGUCGGCAUCUCACUCUCAUGCUCUCCGUCAGCCCGUCACUCACGCAAUCGUGAUUCAGUUUCUGAUUAGCUCGCGGCAGGUGGCAGACGGCAGAUCGUGGUCGUGAUUCAGCCAUCUCGUUGCCAGCUGGCAGCUGUUACCUUCGCAACCUCAUUCAGCCAUUGACAUCGUGCCGGCCGCCGGAGACGGUGAGUUGUUGACUUCGUUCUUUAUUUUUAUUUAUUUUUCGUUAAUUUUUGUCCUUAAUUCAAUUAAUCAAAUUAAUUACUCGGUUGAGUUGUGGUUCGUAGUCUAAUUUAAUACUCGGCAUCAGAUAUUUUAAUUUUUUUUUCCUUCCAUUCGGCAUUCAUACAGUUUUUUAUAAUUUGAUUUCGGUCAUGAUGCUGUUGCUAAUGAAAUUGGAUGUGGAUAAUUGGUGCACUGAAAUGAAUAUGAGAUUGUAACGAGGAAUAUACUGGAAUGUAUAUUAUGAGAUUGUAAUGAGGUUGAUGCAUUUUUUCACUCUAUUAAUAUAAAGAAUAAUAUAGAAGUUUGAUUUUAGACUAAAUUAAUUAUCAAUGAAAUGAAAUGAAAUUAACAAAACUUAUGGUGGUAAAAUGAAUUUUGGGUUUGUCAAAUGUCGGAAUCUUGUUCGCAAAUAAAUAUGAGAUUGUAACGAGAAAUGUACUGGAAUAGAUGAUCAUAAUUGAUUUGAUUUUUGUCAUAAUGUUUGUCAAACCGAACCAAAAUCUAGAAUGAUUUUUGUAAUUUUCUUAAUUUUAGACAUUAUUUGGGCUUGAAUUAAAAUUAUUGAAAAAGAAAACUCACGUGGCUGUGUUUGUGCAUCUGUUACUACAAUAAUGUAUUUUUUCUAAAUAUUUUAAUUUCUUUUCUAGAAUUUAUUUGCGCUUUUCAAUCUUAUCAAGUUUAGAGUUAAUAACUGAAAGUCAGCUGAUAUAAAUUUAUUGUUUAUAAAAAAUAUGAAAGUUUGAUGUUAAGAGACAAUACAAUGAAGAAAAUUAUUUCAGUAGUAAAUAAUUAAUUCUUUUAGAAGAAAAAUAAAAACAAAUUUAUAAGAUGUUUAUAAAAAAUAUGGAUUUUAAUCUUGUUAAGUUAUUGUAACUAUAUCUUGCCGAUUGAUUUAUCAUAAUGAACCUAAACGUGUACUUUCUUAUUUAUACUCUUCUUAUAUUUUUGUUGUGCUGGUUUCAAAUUUGCAGCAACUAAGAUACCAAAACUUUGAACAGUCUUUAGUGAAGCAUCAAUUUGGAAUACAUUGACAGCGUGAUCAUAAAAUGUCUUCUCUUAGGAAUGCAAUUCCUAGAAGGGCUCAUAAGGAGAGAGCUCAACCGUAAGUGACUACUUUUUCUUUUUAAAGUUCUUUCCUUUUGGGAAGUUAUUUGGAAACCCUUUUGAGAUGAAAUAUCUUUGAUCCAUGAUAGGCAAUCGAGGAAGAAGUUUGGGCUUCUUGAAAAGCACAAGGACUAUGUUGUUCGUGCAAAAGCAUAUCACAAGAAGGAGG
rnacentral:lncRNA from 1 species